AGUGCGCAGAGGGGACAGGUGGCGGGGGGGAGGGGCGCUCCGAGACCAAGGCGGUUUCAGAACCCGGGGCUGUGCAGUUGAGGCCCCCGUAGGAGCGGGGUGCAUGGCAGCAGCCCGGGCAUCCGUCAGUGUCCUCAGCCGUCGCUAGCAGGAGGAGAGGCGGAGCAAAGCUGCCUUCUCUACCCGCGGGAACUGUGGAUGCUCCCACACGAAGUCGUGAUCUCCUUUGGGGACAGAUCUUUGCCCCCAAACUACUAAACAGCCUGCUUGGAUAACAGCCCCACCACUGAUUCACAAAAUGUUUUGGUUAUAGGAUCCACAAAUCAGAGUUUUAGAGAUGCAGGAUGUUUGGAAAGAGCAUGGCAUUUUCUGUCCCGUAGCUCCUCUCUGCUAGGUAGUUUAUAAACACUGGAAGUGAAAUGAAGUCAGUCUUGUCUCGUGAGAUGGAGGGAAAAAAGGAGGUAACCACAGCUGUCAUCCUGGGAACCAUGUCUGGGAGAAAAAGGCUCUGCGAAUGUAAACAGUUAAUGCUUUUCAUAGAAAUCGGCCAGGCUGAGUUUGAUACUUGUAAACUCUGAAUAAUAUAGAAAUAUCUUUACACACAAACUAUAGUACUUUCAGACUUUGCACUCUUACACUGUUUUGCAACUCUCAAUUCAACUUUGCAGGUGAAUUGCAAGGGCAUAGUCUCAUCCCAACUGCGAAUCUGGCCGUUGAAUACUAACCUGUAGGCGCCCGGGGCUCCUUUUGCUGACAUGUUAAUGAGUUGAGGGCAAGCGGGACCCACCCACAGUUAAUUCUUCGGGAUCUCCAGUCAAACCCAAGUCCCCUGGGGGCAGCUGCGGGACUCUCAGACAAGAUAGCCUUUGGGGAAAGAGGCCUGGGACAGGUCUUAAUUAAGAAAAGAAAGAGUUCUCAGAGUGGGCCACAAAUCAAACAAACAAGAAAGGGAAAGUGAUGGGGGUCGGGGAACCGAAGUGUGGACUUAAGGCUUGCUCUGCGCCCUCAGCCUCUCUGAGCCUGUGUUGCUGGGUGUAAUUUUCAGUCUCCCUUUAAUUUCGGGAUGAAGGGAAGACCGGUCUAAGAGCAGCAUAGUCACCAGCUGCCUUUCUGCCUCCUCACGUGCCUAAAUUUCCCAGCGGGGCACCUGGCACUUGAGCCUCAGUUCCUGCUCAUCUCUGUAUGCUCCAGGCAGGUCACACUUAAGGAAGGUGUCAUUGAAGAGAAUGGCAAGUUCAUUGCACCCCGUUUCCUGGGACAUUGAGGUCUCUUACUUGCUGUGCCCUUUUGCUCAGCCCUGCGUUCUUCAUCAAGUCUUCUGUUUCCCAGAGGUUUGGCCAAGUGCUUGUUGCUCUGUCCUCCAUAGAGUGGUUCUUCCUGAUUUUAUUGGGUUCUCCUGUAAUCUGGUUCAUAGCCUGAGCUUCCCUCCUUAUCAAAACUAUAUAUACACGUAUAAUUUAAAAAGUCAAAUAUGUCUACAAAGCUUAUAACUAGGAUGGUACUCAUUCACCUUACCCCUCACCAACUUCCACUUCUUUUUAUUCUCUAGAGAUGGAGUCCCGCUCUGUUGCCCAGGCUAGAGUGCAGUAACGUAAUCUCAGCUCACUACAACCUCUGCCUCCUGGGUUCAAGCAAUUCUUUUGCCUCAGCCUUCAAGUAACUGGGACUACAGGCAUGUACCACCACGCCUGGCUAAUUUUUGUCUUUUUAGUAGACAGGGUUUCACUAUAUUGGCUAGGCUGGUCUCGAACUCCUGACCUCAGGUGAUCCGCUUCCUUGACCUCCCAGGGUGUUAGGACUACAGAUGUGACCUACCACACCAGGCCUUUUUUUUUUUUUUUUUUUUUCCAGUAGAAACAGGGUUUCAUCAUGUUGGCCAUGCUUUUCUCCAACUCCUGACUUCAAAUGAUCCGCCCGUCUUGGCCUCCUAAAGUGCUGGGAUUACAGGCAUGAGCUCCUGUGCCUGGCCAGUUUCUUAGAGUUAAAAUAAUAAUAAUACUUUCCUUCCUUUUCUUCUGGAACACCCAGUCAACUGGAAGGAGACCCUCAUGCUUUGAAUCUCUAAUUUUCUUACUGAAACCACCUUUGCAAAAAUUAGAACAGCUGUGAUGGUGAACGAGCUCUGAUCUAUUUUGCUUCUAACCUCCAGGUUGUCCUGGGUGUAGGCCAGACUAACUUUGGGAGGAGUUUAUAAACUUUGAAACAAAGAUGAUUAGAGCCCUUUCCCCAAAACAAAUCCCCAUGUUGCCUGGGGAUCAGAUAGGACUAACAGAUUAGCCAUUAGCCACAAGAUUUGCAGCUUGAUAACAUCACUAUUAUAGAACCUAAGAUUGGCCUUUUGAGAUGUCUUUUCAGGUUUUGGCAUUUCCUUUUUCUUUUUUUUGAUACGGAGUCUCUGUUGCCCAGGCUGGAAUGCAGUGGCAUGAUCUUAGCUCACUGCAACCUCUACUUCCUGGGUUCAAGCAAUUCUCGUGCCUCAGCCUCCCAAGUAGCUGGAACCACAGGCAUGCAUCGCUGUGCUCGGCUAAUUUUUGUAUCUUUAGUAGAGACUGGGUUUCACCAUGUUGUCCACCAGGAAAUGGACUCGGCAUGAGGACUAUUUUCCACACCCCAUGAUUGAAUCCCCAGCCAGUAAGUAGCACCCAUUACCUAGCCACUCUGUCCCCCAAACUAUCCUUAAGAAACCAUAGCAUUCGAAUUUUCAGAGAGACUAAUUUGAGUAAUAAAAUUCUAUUCUCCUAUUCAGCUGGCUCUGUGUCAAACUUCUUCUAUUGCAAUUCCCCUGUCUUGAUAACUUGGCUCUAUCUGGGCAGCAGGCAAAAUGAACCUGUUGGGUGGCUUUAUUACCUUUUUUCUUAUACUUUCUAUUUCCUUUUUAAAACAACAUUUCUACUUCCUGGGAAAUUUCCUCAUUUUUGUCUUCCAACCCAUAUGUUCAAUUUUUAUGUCUGUCAUAUUUCUAAUUCCCCAGAAAGCCUUAAAAAUAUCUGAAAUUUUCUUUUUAUAACCUCCUGUUACUGUUUCUUGGAUGAAAAGCUUCUCAAUUCUUUGUGGAUCUCAAUUACAGCUUCUUUGAAGCAUUUCUCUGCUCCCUGCACUGUUUGUUUCCUCUGAUUUCCUCUUAGUUUUGUGUGUGUGUGUGUGUGUGUGUGUGUGUGUGUGUUGCUUUUGGUUUUUAAUCACUUCCACAUUAAAGGCUUUCUUCAAAUGUCUAAUGAUCCUCGACUGGUCACUCACUAAAAAGCUAACUGGAAGGUCUACAUAGAUUAAGUAUACCCAGGAAUAGUUACUUCUUACUAAGGAGACAGAACAAUGUCUCCGAAUCUAGAACAAUGCCUGGCACACACUAGCCUUUCCAUACAUAUAAGUAUUUGCUGAGUAACUGAAUGACAUACACUCUUGCUGGGGCCCAGGUAGUUGUGAAUAUUAAAGCUCUGAGGUGAUUCAAAUAUGCAGCUAGCAUAGAGGACCUCUGCUGUAGGAUUAGCCCACUGGUGGUUUUAUUGGAGGACUCCCACCUGAUAGUAGAAAAUAUUUGUUCUCUGGGGAAACUGAUCCGGUGAAGAGAAAUCCCAUACAAAGGGAAUUGGUUGGCUGCAGUGUUCUGGGAGCCAGAUGAGAAGGAGUCUGAAAGUCUAACCAUGUGGUAUGAUGACUUUGUCUUAUUCGCCUGUUUUUUAGCCCCUGCCCUCAGCUACACCUGGUGUCUCUGAGUCUGGAGUUGCCAUGACACAGCAGAGCACACAAGUUGCAGAAUUUCAGCCUUCACUUCGUAUCUAGGGCUAAGGUGAUUUGGGGCCCCUUCCCCACCAGUGCAUGUUGCCCCCAGUUUCAGAGCUGUUGGGGGCAUAAAUCCCAACCUGGUUUCCACACUGCUGUGCUGUGCUAGGUUUUCAGUUUCCCUCAUCUGCUAAGUCAGUUACCACUAGUUUGUCUGCAUUCCAGCUUCCAAAAUUGUGUUGCAAUCAUUGUUUCUCCUGUUCUCUUUAUCUUUUCGAGUUUAACAUCCCUCCCUUCACCCUCACUCAUAUCGGACCAUUGUGUUUAUUGGAAAAUGAAUCUCCCUGCCUGACACCCCCAACUUUGCCCCAGAACCCUCCUCUCAGUUCCUUCUCCUGUUGCAGGUGCCCACCUGGAGCCACAUUGCAGAUAGGCCACAUUGAACUUUCAUCUCAGCAGUAAUCAUUUGAAAUGCCCCAGCCCCUGAAGAGAGUGGCUGUUGGUCAUUCCUGUUGGCAUGGUAGUGUCUUCUCCAUCGGGUCAUUCGUUAUGCUGCUGCUUUUGUGUGGAGUAUUGAGCAGAAGGCAUUUCUGAACAUAUGUGAUGCUGCGGCUUAUCAGGGUUCUGUCUAUGAGGAUAACUCUGCAGCACAUUAACUUUGAAAUAUAUUCGUGUCUGUUUCCUCCUUUGGUCCUCACCAGCAGCCCCUUGGGUGGCGGUGUGCUCAGGUGGACUUGGAAGCAUUGUAGUCUGAGAUGAUCAGCCUGUUCCGGUCAUGUAUCUCCAUUCCACACCCCAGAGACAAGCUGUAAGAAAGAGUUCACUAUCAAAGGCUAAGGAGUGAAGGAAAGUCCAUCAUGGAGGUUCUAGGGAAGGUGUACUCACUACCAAGAAAAACGCAAAGUAGAUGGCUCUUUUGCUUCCUCUCUGUGUUGCUGUGUAAACUGGCACGGACAUCUUGCCUCCAGCCUUAGGAUGAAGCCACAGUGCAGGAGAGAGUAAGUAGCAGGUCCCAGAGAGUCCCAGAGAAGCACAGCUCGGGGCCCCACCCUUCCUCUGCACUUCUGGCAUGUGAGAUGAUUAAUUUGCUCCCUGUUUAAGCCACUUUGAGUCAGGGUUUGAUAUCAUUUGCUGCCAAAGUGAUGCAGGUGGAGAUUUAUUUAUGUAUCACUCAUCUCCAAAAAGAGAUGAGGCAGACCAUGGGCUCACUCAGCUUUGAGCUGCUCGAUUCCUCCUUUGAUUCUCCUUCUGAUUCCAAGUACAGUUCCUUUCUACUCAGCCUAUUUUCUAGGCAGAUGAAAGUAAUUUUAUUCUCUCUUCCAACUUCAAAGGAAGGAAUAACUAUUGAGACAUUUGGGGAAAAGGGGGAGUUCUUUGCUUUGGAGAUUGCCAACCGAUCCUAGGGAGCAAACAUCCUGGGCUGUCACUGAAGUGAGGACUGUUUUUAAAUGGCGCAGCACUGAAGACACCUCAUGCUCCCGCCUGUGAAAAGCGAAGCGCUAGUUAUCCCUCCCUCCUGGGACCAGGGAGGCUGAAAAGUCUGCCUGCGGACUUUGUAUCAUUUCCUCCAUCUUCCACCCUUUGUGCCUGCCAGACUUUGGGAAGUUUCAAAGAUGAAACAAACUCCGGAAAUGCUUGGUGGUGUCGGGGAGACCAGAAUGCAGGAGAAAGUACACUGUUGGUUCCUGUCUGUCUCAAGUGGCAAUGAUGUGCUCUCCCUAUUUUUAUGAAUGGAAUGCCUCCAGAGCCCAUUCGGUACUACGUAACAUGUAUGCCUUACACCCUAUAGUUCAUCCUUACAUCCUGAACACCCUACACCAUCUGUUGGUAUUCAAACACUAUGAUGAAUGAGUAACACAAGGAUUGCUCAUGUUAAUACAGACUCAUUAAAUUUUUUUUUUUUUUUUUUUUUUGAGGCAAUCUUGCUCUGUUGCCCAGGCUGGAGUGCAGUGGUGUGAUCUCAGUUCAUUACAACAUCUGCCCCCAGGGUUCCCUUGAUUCUCCUGCCUCAGCCUCCCAAGUAGCUGGGACUACAGGCAAGCUCUACCACGACCAGCUAAUUUUUUGAAUCUUUAGUAGAAAUGGGGAUAUUCCCAUGUUGGCCAGCCUGUUCUCAAACUCUUGACCUCAGGUGAGUCACUGUGCUGGCCCAGACUCAUUAAUUUUAAUGGCAGCACAUUUUCCCAUUGAGUUGAAGGACCACAAUUUGUGCACCUGUUUCCCCAGGACUAGACAUUUAAAGUAGUAUGGGCUAGAAUAGCUGAGACUGAGACCAUACUGAGAAAUCUCAUACAUGUGGUCAUUAAUUGGGAGAUGACUAUGGGACUUUUUUUUUUUUAGACAGCGUUUUACUUUGUUCCUCAGGCUGGACUGCAAUGAUGUGAUCUCGCUGCAACCUCUGCCUUCUGGAUUCGAGUAGUUCUCCUGCCUCAGCCUCCUGUGUAGCUGGGAUUUACAGACAAGUGCCACCAGUCCCAGAUUUAUUUUAAUUUAUUUUUUUGAGACAAAGUUUUGCUUUUUCGCCCAGGCUGGAGUGCAGUGGCCUCACCUUGGCUCACUGCAACCUCUGCCAGGAUCCUGGGUUCAGCAAUUCUCCUGCCUCAGCCUCCCAAGUAGCUGGGAUUACAGGCGUGUGCCACUACGCCCAGCUAAUUUUUUUUUGUAUUUUUGGUAGAGACAGAAUUUCACCACAUUGGCCAGGCUGGUCUCGAACUCCAGACCUCAAAUGAUCUGCCUGCCUCAGCCUCCCAAAGUGCUGGGAUUAUAGGCCUGAGCCACUGCUCGUGGCCAAUUUUUAUUUUUUUAUUUUUUAGUACAGACAGAGUUUCACCAUGUUGGUUAGGCUGGUCUCAACCUCCUGACUGAAAGUGAUUCUGCCUGCCUCAGCCUCCCAAAGUGCUGGUUACAGGCAUGAGCCACCAUGCCCAGCCAUGAGACCUUUUUUUUUGACCGUUCUAGUCUCCAUCCACCUUAUAUGUUACUCUCUAUCUUCCUAACCCCAUAAUCUUCAGAGAAGCCCUUAGCAUCCCAGUUCCAGAUUCCCAUUGCCAGCAGCCAAACUCAGCAACAAGACCAACCUGGCCAACAUAGUGAAACCCCAUCUCUACUCUCUAUUAAAAAUACAAAAAAAUUAGUUGGGUGUGGUGGUGGGUGCCUGUAAUCUCAGCUACUAGGGAGGCUGAGGCAGGAGAAUCGCUUGAACCCAGGGGGUGGAGGUUGCAGUGAGCCGAGAUCGCACCAUUACACUCCAGCCUGGGCAGCAAGAGCGAAACUCCAUCUCAAAAUGGCAUUUUGGAAGUACUGAUAUUUUUGUAACUUUUUCCAGGGGUUCCUGUUAAGCAUUGGUUGGCAGGGAAUCGCCAUUUGAAAUGUGCAUCCCUGAAACGUUGCCUGCCUAGCAUGGUUUUCCAGGUGGUUUCUCCUAACACGUCUUACUACACUUUUGAAUCUAGAGAUUAUUUAACUGGCUCUUACAUUUGCUAAGACUUUUGGCUGACCUCUGAGAUGCUUGUUUUAAUUGCCAACUGAUAGAAAAUCUAAGUGGAAAAAUGCAUGAGGGUGAGAACUUUGGAGCUGGUUUUAUCUCUGGAAAUUGGUGAGCUUGUGGGGACAGGUGAUGAAGGAAAGCUGUUAGAGACAGUUUUGUCUGGUUAGUGGGCUGUUGUCUUAACGGUUUCACUUAUCAGUCCCCCUGUAAAUAAAUAUGCCAUUCCUUAAACAAUGUAAGCAUUCUGUGGAAGUUUACACCUGAAGAAAUUUACACAUAAAAAAAUUUCUGUUUUUGUAAGUUGUAACUGAGAUACACUAGAAGACCUUGAUGUUUCCAUUUAGAUUAAUCCUAUGGUGAAGCCCUUUUGUAGAACAAAUAAUUUUUUUUAGAAGUCAAGACAUAUUUGUCCCAAAUACAUACCAGAUAUAUAUGCGUGUGUGUGUGUGUGUGUGUGUGUGUGUGUGUGUGUAACUUACAGUUGUUUGUAUGUGUCAUUCUUCCCCCUGCCCCCAAUUCAUUCUCAGUCUUCCUCGGUCCUAAGAGGAUUGUGUCUCUGAACUGCAGCAUCUGGACUCCCUUGCCUGCGGUUUCUGGUUGGAUUCAGCCAAUGGGAGGCACUGGCAGGGGAUCAGAGGAGGAGGAAAGAGCAUCUGGGUAUUUAUCUCCCUCGUGGUCCCCUAACCUUGCAGGGGUUCUGACAAUGGCUGAUUUCUUCUAAGCGCUUGAGGCAACUCAGUUUCCUAGCUCCAGUUCCUGCACAGUCUGAUAACACUGCUUCCUGACCUUGCCCUUCAGACCUAGAGGUCCUAGCAGUUUCCCUGCUGUUGUUGCUGGCCCCGGGUGCUGCACUCUGCCUGUCUCUUGCACUUUCUCUCAGGCUGGUGUGCAGUGGCAUGAUCACGGCUCACUGCAGCCUCAACCUCUCAGGCCCAGUUGAUUUCCCACCUGAACCUCCCAAGUACUUGGGACCAUAGGCGUGCACUACCUUGCCCAGCUAAUUUUUAUUUUUAUUUUUUGUAGAGAUGAGGGUCUCCCUGUAUUGCCCAGGCUGGUCAUGAACUCCCAGGCUCAAGCAGUCCUCCUGCCUCAGACUCACAAAGUGCUGGGAUUACAGAUCUGAGCCACCUGUGUGUGAUGGCAACUUUUUUUUUUUUUUAAACCAGGAUGGCAACUCUUUGCUUUUGUUACUUUGUGUUUUUGUUUUUGUUAUUUAUUUAUUUAUUUUUUGAGACAGGGUCUCAAUGUCACCCAGGCUGGAGUGCAGUGGUGUAAUCACAGCUCACUGCAACCUCCACCUCUCUGGCUCAAGCAAUUUGCCCACCUCAGCCUCCCGAGCUGGGAUUGCAGGCAGACACCAUCACACCUGGCUAAUUUUUGUCUCUCUCUCUCUUUUUUUUUUUUUUUAAAGAGUUUUGCCAUGUAGUCCAGACUGGUCUGGAACUCCUGAACUGAAGCAAUCAGCCUGGCUUGGCCUCUGAAAUUGUUGGGAUUACAGACAUGAGCCACCACACCCAGCCUCAGGAUGGCGACUCUUGAAGUAGAAUAGUAACAUACAUAUCGGAGUGCAUGUGUCUCUAGUAUGUAUGCAGAUAUCAUGUCUGUGACUGUUAGAGAAAUUUUUUUUUUUUUUUUUUUUUGAGACAGUCUUGCUCUGUCGCCAGGCUGGAGUGCAGCCUGUUAGUGAAAUUUCUUUCUUUCUUUUUUUUUUUUUUUUGAGACAGUCUCGUUCUGUCGCCAGGGUGGCGUGAUCUUGGCUCACUGCAACCUCCACCUCCUGGGUUCAAACGAUUGUCCUACCUCAGCCUUCCAAGUAGCUGGGAUUACAGGUGCAUGCCAGCACACCCAGCUAAUUUUUGUAUUUUUAGUAGAGACAGGGUUUCAGCAUGUUGGCCAGGAUGGUCUCGAUCUCUUGACUUCGUGAUCCGCCUGUCUCGGCCUCCCAAAGUGCUGGGAUUACAGGUGUGAGCCAUCGAGACCGGCCUGUUAGUGAAUUUUUGUAACUUUCAUUUGUGUCCUUAUCAGUGUCGGUUCUUCAUGUGGUAAGCAAUUACCGAGUGGCAGUUAUAGGCAUCACACUGUGCUAGCAAUUAACUAUCAUGUUUUUCAGAGCCAGGGAUUCCUUAAAGGACUAAAAUAAUAGAAUUUUCUAGCUAGAAGGGAUCUAGGAGCAUGUCUAAUCCAGCUUCAUCCUUUGAAGGUGAAGCUCAGGCCACGAGGUUCAGGGCCUUGUCUGCAGCCCAGUUAGUAAAUGCGGUGGAUGGUACCAGACCUCCGUGGCUUGACGGAGUUCUGUCCUCAUUUUGCUCCGGUUACACCACCUGGUCAUUUCCUGGCUGCUUUCUGGUGCAACUAACCUACACUAGGUAUCCUUUAAAAAGCUUCUCUGUUGUUCUUUAUUGAUUCCCUCUGGCUGCAAAUGCAAACCAGAUAGUCAUGCUCUGAGCUCAUUAAAAAAAAAAACCUAAUGGCAUCCAGACAGCGGAUUCCAACCUAGACUUCAACAUAGCCCCGGUGUAGACAGCUGGGGGCUAUUCAGACCAGCCCACCACCACUGCUCUGGAGCAUCUCACCACCUUUAAACUUCAGAGCAGCAUUGUAUGUGGGUGUAUGAGGUACUGGGCAUUGGGUCGGGUGAGUUAGUUAUAAGCUGUGUGGUUUUUGGAGCCAGAGCCUCAGCUGUCAUCUGCAGACGUGGUCUCCUUCAAGCCAGGCGAGGGCUUCUGAGAGGCCUUUGCUGCCACACAGGGAUCGAUCGGUGCUGCUUCUGAAACUGUGGCCCUUCAUGGGUCUAUAUUUAGUUCAAGGACCAGGGUAUCAGGUGUCCCCUACAAAAUCAAAAACUUUUGAUGCCACUAAAUUUACAGCUUCAAAUUGGAUUCAAGUGGACAAAAAGCCUUUCCUUAAUGAAGAGACAUAAAGCAAAUUAGACUGAGAGCAAGCCUAGGUCCGUGUGAUGAGGUGAAUCCCAGUUAUUGAGUGUUCCACCCCACGUGUUACUACGUUCUUCUACAUAUGUGUGUCAGCCAGAGUUCUGAUAAAUCUCUACCAGCACCUAAGAGACAUAGGUUCAGAAAGAUUAGGAAAAGGAAGGCAGCAGGGGUGGAGUGGGGUGGGGCCGGAUUGGGCAGGUGCAGCUGGUAACCUUUACUGAUGACCUGCUAUUUGUCAGGCUUUGUGAUGGGAAUUUUAACUAGCGGAUCCCACAGCUAGAUAGCUGAGGAUUAUCAUCAUUUUGCAGUUCUGGACUUGAGGCUCAGAAGGGCCUUGACAUACCCUGAGUUGCAUAGGUAAUGUAAGGUGGUAUGUCACUUGCUCACUUCUGCCUGACCCCACACACAAACUGUCUUAUUGAAGGAUACUGUUCUAAAUGCAGCUGUCAGCCAGGUGCAGUGGCUCACGCCUGUAAUCCCAGCAUUUUGGGAGGCUGAGGUGGGCGGAUCAUGAGGUCAGGAGAUCCAAACCAGCCUGGCCAACAUGGUGAAACCCUGUCUCUACUAAAAAUACAAAAAUUAGCCGGGUGUGGUGGCAUGCACCUCUAAUCUCAGUUAUUCAGGAGGCUGAGGCAGGAGAAUCGCUUAGACCUGGAAGGUGGAGGUUGCAGUGAGCUGAGAUCAUGCCACCUGCACUCCAGCCUGAGUGACAAAGCAAGACUCUGUCUCAAACGGAUGAAUGAAUGCAGCUGCCCCAUGAGUCUUUGGGAAAAGCUAGUUAGCAUCCCUGCCUUGCUUUUCUCAACUAUAAAGUGGGGAUAAAGUUUGUCACUCUCAGGUUUGUGGUGAGGGUAGAGUGAGCAAGGGACUGCACAUGUGUUUGUCACUACGCCAACUAUGGAUGCCCUUCAUAAAACUUAACUCCUGGGCCCCUUGUGCUGGGUUUGCUGCUGCUGCUUUUUCUAAAGGGUUUUGUCACUUUUCAGCCAGCUGUUAACAUCAUUGAAUUAGUUUGCUCAUUCAUCAUAUGAGGCUUGCAUUAAAGAUGAGGUUUUUUUGUUUGUUUUUGAGAUAGAGUCUUGCUCUGUCACCAGGCUGGAGUGCAGUGGCAUGAUGUCAGCUCACUGGAACCUCUGCCUCCCGGGUUCAAGUGGAUUCUCCUGCCUCAGCCUCCAGAGUAGCUGGAAUUACAUAUGUGCGCCACCACUGCUGGCUAAUUUUUUGUAUUUUUAGUGGAGAUGGGGUUUGCCAUGUUGACCAGGCUGGUCUUGAACUCUUGGCCUCUAGCGAUCUGCCUGCUUUGGCCUCCCAGAGUGCUGCGACUACAGGUGUGAGCCAACUGCCCCCAGAUAAAGGUCAGUUUUCAUAAUGGAGAAAAUCCCAAAGAGAAAGAGAAACUUUGCAACUAUCAAAGUUCCAGUCAUGCUCUGUCUGUAUGUUCCUUCAGGACGUAAUCCAUUCACGGCUACUGGUGAGAGGCUGGACUUGGUCAGCUGGGCUGGAGGAGCCUGUGCUGUCUGUAGCUAAAUUCCAGCCACCCUCCUUAGUCCUAGCUGCUUGGGCUUCCUCCUUCCUGACCCACUGUCCCUGUGACGUAUGUUUGUCAGCACUGCACAUUUUUUUCUGCCUCCCCCUCCCCUUGAAACAGAAAUGCAUUGGCUGCGAUGAGCAUCUUUAUAGCUUAGAAUAUUGCCCAUUGUCCUUUCCACUUCAGUUAUUGAAAUAGGUAAUGAUGGGGACUCCCUGGAAUCUCCCAAGAUAUUCAUGCCUUUCUUCAGGAUGUUCCGUCUGUUACAGCCCUCUCUGGCUCUCAUGGCUGUCGGCAGUGCUUUCUAGCAGUGCUGCGGCUGAGCUCAGAGUCUUAAUUCCUGCUGUUGGCUCCGGCAUCUGAGGACAGAGAAAGGGUGGGUCUGACCCCCUGCAGAAAGUGGUGAUGGCGUCUGGGAGGAUUUGUGCCCUCAGCUGCCCAGGAGUAUCUCCGACAGAUACUCUCCCAGCACCCUUAAAGGUAUCAUACCACAAGUAUACAAAUUAUUAUUAUUAUAUUUAUUUAUUUUUUUGAGACAGAGUUGCACUCUUGUUGCCCAGGCUGGAGUGCAAUGGUGCAAUCUUGGCUCAUUGCAACAUCCGCCUCUCCGGUUCAAGCGAUUCUCCUGCCUCAGCGUCUCGAGUAGCUGGGAUUACAGGCGUGUGCCACCACGCCCAGCUAAUUUUGUAUUUUCUUUCUUUCUUUCUUUCUUUCUUUCUUUCUUUCUUUCUUUCUUUCUUUCUUUCUUUCUUUCUUUUUCUUUCUUUCUUUCUUUCUUUUUCGUCUCUCUCUCUCUCUCUCUCUCUCUUUCUCUCUCUCUCUUUUCUUUUCUUUUCUUUGACGGAGUUUCACUCUUGUUACCCAGGCUGGAGUGCAAUCUCGCAAUCUCGGCUCACCGCAACCUCCGCCUCCUGGGUUCAAGCAGUUCUCCUGCCUCAGCCUCCCGAGUAGCUGGGAUUACAGGUGUGCGCCACCAUGCUCGGCUAAUUUUUUGUAUUUUUAGUAGAGAUGGGGUUUCACCAUGUUGACCAGGAUGGUCUCCAUCUCUUGACCUUGUGAUCCACCUGCUUCGGCCUCCCAAAGUGCUGGGAUUACAGGCGUGAGCCACCGCGCCUGGCCCAAUUUUGUAUUUUCAGUAGAGACUGGGUUUCUCCAUGUUGGUCAGGUCGGUUUUGAACUCCUGACCUCAGGUGAUACACCCGCCUCAGCCUCCCAAAGUGCUGGGAUUACAGGCGUGAGUCACCACACCUAGCUGCAAAUUAUUUUUUGAGAAAGAAGAAAGACAGAAAGCCGUUGACCCUGCCGGCUGACCUCAUGUUGGCCACACUGUCCUGUGGGAGACGCACCUGUUUCUGUGUUCUUGGGACCCACACUUUGAAUUCCUCUGGAGUCCCCAAUUCUAGCUUGGGGAAUUCUACUUAGGACGCAGUACCAUAUUGCCCUCACCACCUGCUGAGGGAAAAGAACAUUUGAGAGAAAAUGUGGAAAAUAAGUUAUACAGCUUAACACAUAGGCCCAAAUAUAAGGUGAGAUUCUGCCCCCAGCCCCCCAAAAAAGUGAUCAGAAAUGAGAGUUGCCUUAUAUUUAAGUCUCUACAAAUUCUCUCUCACUGUGGGAGGGUCUUGCAAUUAUUUUAUAUUGAACAAAGUAGUAUUUAGAGAACACACAUUACUUCAAAAUGACCUUAGUCAGUGCUGGUUUUGGAUGUUUUGGAGGUCAUCUAAGGAAAUCGUAGUUUUAAAAAGGAAGAGGGUGGUUUAAAAAAAUCUACUAAUAUUCCAGAGCAUCUGACCUCACAGUAACAAGAGUCGGGUUUCUUUGUAAACAAGACUUUUAAAGAUCAUUUAAAAAUGGAACAAGUUGGCCAGCACAGUGGCUCAUGCCUGUGAUCCCAGCACUUUGAGAGGCCAAGGCGGGCGGAUCACCUGAGGUCAGGAGUUUGAGACAAGCCUGACCAACAUGGUGAAACCCCGUGUCUACUAAAAAUACAAAAAUUAGCUAGGCAUGGUGGCAGGUGCCUGUAAUCCCAGUGACUCGGGAGGCUGAGGCAGGAGAAUUGCUUGAACCCAGGAAGUGGAGUUUGCGAUGAGUGGAGAUCGUACCACUGCACUCCAGCCAGGGCAACAAAGUGAGACUCUUAAAAAAAAAAAAGAAAGAAACAAGUUAAGAACUUUAUUCAAAUAACUUAGAUUGAAGUGAGGAAGAUAUGUUUUGGAAAACUCACAAAAUGUAGCUCUAAUCACAGGAACUGGUGUGAAAAUGCCAAUGCCGCUGUAGACUUUAAAUAAAUGUUUUCCUAAAGUGUGAGCGAGAGCUGAGGGUAAACCGGAAAGCUUUCUACUUUAGCAUGCAUUUAAUGUUUAUAUAUUCAUGUAUAUAAUAUAUACAUGUGUAUAUGUGUUACUCUAUUAAUACCUUAAGGUAUUUUAAGUGUAUCAUAUUUUAAUAUUUAAAUGGGAUAUUUACAUCUAAUAAUAUAGAUUUUUUUUUUUUUUUUUUUUUUUGAGAGGGAGUAUUGUUCUGUCUCCCAGACUGGAGUGCAGUGGUGUGAUCUUGGCUCACUGCCAUGGCCACCUCUUGGGUUCAAGUGAUUCUCCUGCCUCAGCCUCCCAAGUAGCUGAGAUUAUAGGCAUGUGCCACCAUGCCUGGCUAUUUUUUUUUUUUUUUUUUUUUUUUUGUAUUUUAGUAAAGACAGGGUUUCACUAUGUUGGUCAGGCUGGUUUUGAACUCCUGACCUCGAAGGAUUCAUCUGCCUUGGCCUCCCAAAGGCCAAGGAUUAUAGGUGUGAGCCACUGCGCGGGCCCAGAUUCUUUCAUUUACAGUUAUCUAAUCAAAUUGCCCCCAAAACAUUUUCAGCUAUAAUCUAAUUGGGACAGUAGAGGAUCCACCUAUAUUUGGAAUAUCCUUAUGAUCUAAUGGAGAAGUCUUUCAUUCACACCAAUUAUAUAGAAAGUGCAUGUCAAGAAGUGAGUUAAUAAUAUAUAUUGUUAUCAUCUGGAAUCAUUGUUUCUAUACCUUCAUUCUUGUUUCUUGAUUGAGAUUUCUUUUUUUCUUGAGACAGUUUUGCUCUGUCUCAAGGCUGGAGUGCAGUGACACGAUCUCAGCUCACUGCAACCUCCGCCUCCUGGAUUCAAGCAAUUCUCCUGCCUUAGCUUCCUGAGUAGCUGGGAUUACAGGCCUGUGCCACCACGCCCGGCUAAUUUUUGUGUUUUUAGUAGAGACUGCGUUUCACCAUGUUGGCCACGCUGCUCUUGAACUCCUGACCUCAUGUGAUCCACCCACCUCAGCCUCCCAGAGUGCUGGUAUUACAGGUGUGAGCCACUGUGCCCUGUGCUUGAGUUGUCUUGAUUUGCAAGAGUCAAACUAAAAUGAACGUACGUAUAGAUUUUUUUUUUUUUUUUUUUUUGUGAGACAGUCUCGUCAUUGAGGCUGGAGUGCUGUGUGUGUGAAUGAAGCUGACGGCAGCCUUUACCUCCUGGGCUCAAGUCAUCAGCCCUCCUUAGCUUCCCAAAGUGUUGGGAUUACAGGCAUGAGCUACCAUGCCUGGCUAAAAAAGCAGAAUAUUGAAAUGAUUCAAAUAUGUUUUCUUUGAAAUCAAGGAAUCUCUACUGGGAAAGGGGUACCAGCUUAUCUUUGGGAGUCACUUCAUAGCAGGGCAUGUGUGGUAUUUGGAGUUGCGUUGAGCAGAUUACAGUGUUGUGUGUGUGUGUAACCAGCCCUCCUGAGGCUGCUGACAGCUUGUGGGCAAAGCAGAGCCCAGCCAUAGGAGGUGGGAGGACAGUCCGGAGAGUGCUCCAUCUCAGGGCCGGCCAACUGGAGGUUUUGGUAAAACAAACAUGGAGAAUUUCCCUGGGAAAGAAUCUUGGGUACAGGAAGGACAGAGGUCACUUCUCUAGCUCUUCUUCAUCCCACUCCAUGGGAAUGUGGACAUAUGUCCUCUAGAAUGCAUCUUGCCAACAGGUAAGAUGGAGAUUGUCACUAGGAAAUACACAUGCAACAAGAAGCCUGCCUGGCUGAAGAAGUUUAUCUUUUCAUGAGAUACACUUUCCCUGAAGACAAACAAUAUAUGUUUAAACCCACUGUGUCUACUAUGGCCUGUCAUUGCCCCUUCCUCCCCCAAGGCAGCCUUUUCUGCCUUCUCAGUGUGACAGACAUUGUAUUUAUUGUAGCCAUGUAGUUGUUGAGAAACCAUGGCUGCCUCCAAACUUAAAACACUGGCUUAUUAGUCAGGGUUCUACAGAGAAACAGAACUGAGAGGAUAUGUGUGUACACACAUAGAUACAUAUAUCUACCCACAUGUGUGUAUGUCACGAGUGUGUGGGUACAGUCAUGCACUGAAUAAUGAUGUUUCAGUCACCGAUGGACUGCAUAUACAAUGGUGGUUCCAUGUGAUUAUAAUGGAACAUACACAGAAACCUGCUAAUGGCACUUGAUAUUGGCAUUGCAGGACAAGUAGGGGAAAUGAUUGAUAGUAAAGUGCUGGGAUGUUUGGUUUUUCGUAUGAAAAAAUAUAUAAAUAAUAUAUAAGCUGCCAUCUAGUUUCGUGUAAGUACAUGGCAUUUUUACACAAUGACAAAAUUACCUAACAACACUUUUUUCAGAACAUAUCCCUAUCAUUAAGCAAUGUAUGACUAAGUAUUAUAUAUAGAGAGCCUGAGAGCGAUUGAGAUUUAUUUUAAGAAAUUUGCGGCCAGGUGUGGUGGCUCACACUUGUAAUCCCAGCACUUUGGGAGGCCGAGGAGGGUGGAUCAUGAGGUCAGCUCGAGACCAUCUUGGCCAAUGUGGUGAAACCCCAUCUCUACUAAAAAUAUAAAAAAUUAGGCUGGGCGCGGUGGCUCACGCCUGUAAUCCUAGCACUUUGGGAGGCCGAGGUGGGUGGAUCACCUGAGGUCAGGAGUUCAAGACCAGCCUGGCCAUCAUGGUGAAACCCCAUCUUUAAAAAAAAAAAAAAUUAGCUGGGCGUGGUGGCGUGUGCCUGUAGUCCCACCUACUCAGGAGGCUGAGGCAAGAGAAUCCCUUGAACCAGGAAGGCGGAGGUUGCAGUGAGCCAAGAUCACGCCACUGCACUCCAGCCUGGGCAACAGAGUGAGACUCCGUCUCAAAAAAAAAAGGGCUCGGUGUGGUGGCUCAAGCCUGUAAUCCCAGCACUUUGGGAGGCCAAGGUGGGUGGAUCACGUAGACCAUCCUGGUCAACGUGGUGAAACCCUGUCUCUACUAAAAAUACAAAAAAUUAACUGGGCAUGGUGGCACGUGCCUGUAAUCCCAGCUACUCAGGAGGCUGAGGCAGGAGAAUUGCCUGAACCCAGGAGGCGGAGGUUGCAGUGAGCCGAGAUCGCACCAUUGCACUCCAGCCUGGGUAACAAGAGCGAAACUCUGUCUCAAAAAAAAAAAUAAACACAGAAAUUUGCUCACAUAUCCCAGCACUUUGGGAGACUGAGGCAGGAGGAGUGCUUAAGCCCAGGAGUUUGAGACCAGCCUGGGCAAUGUAAUGAGACCCCAUUUCUACAAAAAAUUUAAAAAUUAGUUGGCAUGGUAGCAUGUGCCUAUAGUCCCAGCUACUCUGGUGGCUGAGGUAGGAGUAUUACCUGAGCCCAAGAGGUGAAGGCUGCAGUGAGUCAUGAUAGUUGGAGACCAACCUGACCAACAUGGAGAAACCCUAUCUCUACUAAAAAUACAAAAAUUAGCUGGGCGUGGUUGCUUGUAAUUCCCUUGUAAUUCCAGCUACUCGGGAGGCUCUUUUUUUUUUUUUUUUUUUGGACGAGGUUUCGCUCUUGUUGCCCAUGUUGGAAUGCAAUGGUGCCAUUUCUGCUCACUGCAGCCUCUACCUCCUGGGUUCAAGCCUUCUCCUGGCUCAGCCUCAAACUCCUGACCUCAGGUGAUCCACCCACCUUGGCCUCCCAAAGUGUUGGAAAUACAGGCAUGAGCCACUCUGCCUAGCCUUUUAGUCUUUGUUUAAUAAAAAUGAUAACAAAAGUCCCUUUUACUCCUGGGAAGCCCAGCUCUAUUCCAUUCUCUUCUAGUGCAUAUCCUUCCAGACUAAGUUUUGAUGUUUAAAUACUAUGUAUUGUUAUAGAUGCGUUUUUUAUGUGUAUUCUAGUUGACAUAAAUAGUAUUAACAUAUCGCAUCUUGCCUUUUGUACGCUACAUUUUUUCUUUCUGAAAUCUGGCCAUGUUAAUGGAGUGAUUCAUUUUAACUGCCUUUUCUGCUUUAAGAAAAUUCUCUAUAUCCUCUAUAUUUUUCUUCCAGUACUAUUUCAUAUUUAGGGUUUUUUUUGGCUUUCAUGUGGAAAAUAUAUAAUAAGAUCUUCAUUUGGAAGGGAAAAACAAGCUUCAGAUGAAUUAAAAGUAUAUUUCAAGGCCAGGCAUAGUGGCUCAUGCAUGUAAUCCCAGCACUUUGGGAGGCCGAGGCGGGCUGAUCACUUGAGGCCAGAAUUUCGAGAUAGCCUGGCCAACAUGGCGAAACCCUGUCUCUACUAAAAGUACAAACAAAUUAGUCAGGUGGGGUCGAUCACACCUGUAAUCCUGGCUCCUCGAGAGGCUGAGGUGGGAGAAUUGCUUGAACCUGGGAGGCAGAGGUUGCAGUGAUCUCAGAUAGCACCACUGCACCUCAGCCUGGGCCACAGAGUAAGACUCUAUCUCAAAAUAAAUAAAUACAUACAUACAUACACAAACACACACACCACACACCCUAAAUGGAUUAAAAAUCCAGUGCACUGAUUAACAUGGUCUUGGUCUCACAUGUAUAGUCCCUAAAAAUAUUAAGGUCAGUGUUAUGGUUCUUUAUUCCCUUCUGAUAAUUUGUUCCUGCAUUAAUAUUAUGUUGUCUUAAUUACUACAGUUACCUACUGUGUUUUAAUAUUUGAUAGAAUCAGUUCAUCCUUUUCAUACUCCUGUUUCACAAUUGGCUUAGAUAUUCUUAGUUCUUCCCAUAUAAACAUUAAAAUAUUUUUCAAGUUUCCUAAAAUUUCUUAUUGGAAUUUCACUGAAGUUAUUGAUUACUUCGGAAAUAUUGACAUCUUUAAAAUGUUGUCCUCCCCUCUCCGUAAAUAAGGUCUCUCAUCUCAUUAAUCCAAAUCUUCUUCAUUUAUAGCCUUCAGUAAAGUUUUAUGAUGUCUUACCAAAGUUUCUUUUAGACUCGUGCCUAUGUACUUUCUAGUUUCGGUUACUAUACGAGUCAGUGUUUUUUCUUAGUAUUGCAUUCUCUAUUUGGUUAUUGCUAGUUUAAAGGAAUACUAUUGAUCUUUGAGUUUUUGUUUUGUUUUGUUUUCUGAGACAGUCUCACUCUGUUGCCUAGACUGGAGUGCAGUAGUGUGGUUUCAGCUCACUGCAGCCUCUGCCUCCCAGGUUCAGCCUCUCCUUUCUGAGUCUCCCAAGUACCUGAUGUUACAGGUGUGUGCCAUCAUGCCGGGCUAAUUUUUGUGUUUUUAGUAGAGAUGGGAUUUCACCAUAGUGGUCAGGCUGGUCUCGAACUCCUGACCUUAAGUGAUCCACCUUCCUCAGGCUCCCAAAGUGCUGGGAUUACAGGUGUGAGCCACUGUGCCCGGCCUGAAUUUGGAUUUUUGUUUCCAACAAUCUUGCAGCAUCCUCCUAUUAAUUCUAAUUGUUUGGAGGUUGGUCUUGAUAAUUAAAUGUAAUCAAGUGUCUGUAGGUCUUCAGUACUAUUUUGAAUUAUAAACUCUGUAAUUAUACUGCCAUCCACAAUUACAUAAAUUUCCCUGAGCAUAAUGUAACAUAGGGCAUUGACUCUGGAGCCAGGCUGUGUGCCAAGGGACAUAAAGAUGAAAGCAAUGGAGCCCCACUUCUGGGCGGUGACCAGGUAUGGCCUCAAAUUUACUCCUUCAAAAAUUUUAGUGUUGGCGGGGUGCCACUACACUCCAGACUGGCAACAGAGGGAGACUCCAUCUCAAAAAAAAAAUUUUUUUUCCGUGUUGGCCAGGUGAGGUGGCUCAUGCCUGUAAUCUCAGCACUUUGGGAGGCCGAGGUGGGUGGAUCACAAGGUCAGGAGGUCAAGACCAUCUUGGCCAACAUGGUAAAACCCCGUCUCAACUAAAAAUACAAAAAUUAGAUGGGCGUGGUGGCAUGUGCCUGUAGUUCCAGCCACUCAGGAGGCUGGGGCAGGAGAAUCACUUGAACCUGGGAGGCAGAGGUUGCAGUGAGCCAAGGUCGCACCAUUGCACUCCAACUUGGGGACAGAGGGAAAAUAUGUCUCAAAAAAACAAAACUCAGUGUUUAUGCAGGUUUUCAGACCACUGGGUUCUGAAACAGCCCGGGUUCCAGCAUUUUCUCAUUUGUAUGACCUUGGGAACUAUCUGUGCCUCAGAUUUAUCUGUAAAGUGGGAAUAUUAGUAAUAUCUACUCACAGGAGAUGGUGAGGAUUCUGAAUUAUUGCAUUUAUCUGGUCUAGUUUAAGCUUCUGAUAAGUGUUGAUCGUUACUCUUGAUAGCAUUACUGCAUUUUAAAAUUUCAACUGUCUUAAAACUUCUGAGUAGCACAGGAUUAUUAAGUUUAGAUUUAUUAGUGCUUUAUCAGAAAAUCAAUUUUUUUUUUUGUUUGUUUGAGAUGAGUUUGGCUGGGCGGGUGGCUCACACCUGUAAUCCCAGCACUUUGGGAGGCCAAGGUGGGUGGAUCACCUGAGGUCAGGGGUUCGAAACGAGCCUGACCAACAAGGUGAAACCCUGUCUCUUUAAAAAUAAAUAAAUAAAUAAGAGAUGAGUUCUCACUCUGUCACCUAGGCUGGAGUGCAAUGGUGCAGUCUCAGCUCACUGCAACCUUGGUCUUCCGGGCUCAAGUGAUUCUCCCACUUCAGCCUCCCAAGUAGCUGGAACCACAGGCACAUACUGCCACACCGAGCUAAUUUUUUUUGGGGGGGGGGGGGGGCGGGGAUUUUGGUAGGGAUGGGGUCUCGCUAUGUUGCCAGGCUGGUCGUGAACUCCUGAGCUCAUUAUCUGCCUGCCCCAGCCGCCCAAAGUGCUGGGAUUACAGGGAUGAGCCACCACGCCCAACCCAGAAAGUCAAUCUGUUCUCUUUUAUGAUUUGUUUUAAAAUGCUGUGCUUUGUUCACUGUCAUCGUAUUGCUUCCGGUAAGAUCACACCUGGUAUCCCUAAUAUAGGUCAAAAGGAAAAUUGCUUCACAACAAUUUGCUUGAGAAACUUUGCUGAAAGAUCUCUUGAUGGAUUGAUUGAGAUGGAGUUUUGCUCUUUUUGCCCAGGCUGGAGUGCAAUGGCGUGAUCUCAGCUCACUGUAACAUCCGCCUCCUGAGUUCAAGUGAUUCUCCUAUCUCACCCUGCGAAGUAGCUGGGAUUACAGGCUCACGCCAUCGCGCCCAGCUAAUUUUGUAUUUUUGGUAGAGACCAGGUUUCACCAUAUAGGCCAGGCUGGUCUUGACCUCAGGUGAUCCAUCCGCCUUGGCCUCCCAAAAUCCUGGGAUUACAGGUGCGAGCCACCAUGCCCAGAUUAUUUUUGCCUAUGAAGAUACCUUAUAACUCUGUAUUAAUUAGCUCUAGUCCUAGUUUUUUAAUAAUGAUAAAUCAGAGUGCAGAGUUUUCAAGUGGUUUGCAUUUUAUUUUUUGAGAAAAGGAGAAAAAUACCCUGAUGGUAAUUGAUUAGCUCAACAAGCACCCUGACACCUCACAUGCUCAGAUUGCUUGUGGUUGGUGGUAACUGAAAUGUGUGGCAGACAGCACAGCAAGCCUGGGAGCACUGCCCUGCACCACUUCAUUCACUGAAGAUGUUCUCUGGUCCAUGCCUUCCCCAGGGGCUUUUUUCUUGCUCCCAGACAACUGGCUCCAUCCCUUCCCAGUGCCCCCAUCAACCAGCCUGUUUUACUAGAAUGUGUCUUUAAAAGCACUAUUCUCUUUUUCUCAACUUCAGAAGAACAUAGACGAUCCCGAGACCCUGAAUGGCAUAGCUUGUCUCUUGCUUAGCGGGACCACAAAUGAAGGAUGCUUGGAGAAGAGCUUGGACAUGGGCAGGUCCUUUUCUUUGGUGGUCAGAUGACCUUGGCUCAUUGUGGAAUUUGUUAGAAAAUGGCUAACCCAGUGUUUAAAUAUCUGUUACUAUCCACCCUUCCUCCAUUAGCCAACCUACUGUAUAGGCACAGCAAUGUCCAACAGUGUAGGUGGAUCAGCAGUUGGACCAGGACAUUGAUAUGGUCAUUCACUGGGGCGACCACCCAUUUACAUUCUAAUUCCUGUCAGCGGCAGAAUGCUCAAAUGGAUGUUAAGAAUUGACAUUUCUCCUCAAGUGUAUCCCCAGCAAGUAGUCACACACUAUUUUUUUUUAGAGAAUAAAGGCUAAGAUUGAGAGUAACUCUAAGUUAUUCUGAUAGCUGUUUCCUGAGUCUCCUCUUAGCAGGAUUUGGAGAGUAUCUAGCAUUUUUAUGAAUGGUCAAAUCAGUUUCAGCAAGAGGCAAACUCCGUUUGUCAGCUGGUUGGUUUUUCCUGCCUACAUUUCAACUGCCUUGUCCUUCCUUUUUCUUUCCUGUGCAGCAGCCUUCAGAGAUUUAUAAGAAUUGGGUAACGUUUUCCCUUCCAAGGCAGAUUUUAAAAUGUUUUCUUCUUAGCCUUUCUCAUUAUCUUCAGGAUCUUGGUUAGAGAAACAAAUGUUUUUUUCUGUAAUUGAGAAAAAGGUGCCUUCAGUGACCACACUGGUCUGUGAUUUAAUCACUAGAUCUGAUUUGGGCUCUGCUAGACUACUUACAUUUUUCUCAGCAAUACCUACCUUUAAAAGAUCGGAGCAAUGAUGGACAUUUUGGUUUAUACUUUAUAUGGAAAUCCAAUUAAGAUUUUUCAAAUUUGGCUAAUUUGAAGACAUAGAUUCCUAAAUUAUUAUUCAAAUCUUUGAGGACAUAUCAAGAUUCCAUGCCAUGGGGACUGUCCGUGUCCCAACAUUGUGCUGCGUAUAGUGCAUUUCAUCACCGCUUCAAUAGCCAUCUCUAUGAAUGGAUAGAAGAAAGCAUGUUCAAAUUCUAUGAACAGAGUGUUUUCUCUUUCUUGCUUUUCCAGAGUUGGCUAUAGCUUUUAUCCUCAUUUGCAGAGAUCAAAAUCUGAUCUGCAGGAACCCUAUUUUGAUUGGCUGUCAGGCAUUCAUAGCUCUGUAACUAAAUACCAAUGUAUGAAAUGGUUAUUGUUCCCUGGAGUGGUGGGCCUGGGCCAGAACACAUUCUUUGUGAUUUCAAGGGGGCCAAAUGGAAGCUGUAAAUGUCCUGGCAGCCAAGUUGGGUAAACAUGAGCUCUUAUAACCUCAGAUACAAGAGCAGAAAGGUAGCUUGCCUUUUUUUUUUUUUUUUUUGAGACAGGGUCUCACUCUCAUCACUCAGGCUGGAGUGCAAUGGCGCGAUCUCAGCUCACUGCAACCUUUGCCUCCUGGGUUCAAGCGAUUCUCCUGCCUCAGCCUCCUGAGUAGCUGGGAUUACAGGCAUGAACCACACCAGGCUAACUUUUGUAUUUUUAGUAGAGAUGGAGUUUCACCAUGUUGGCUGGCCUGGUCUUGAACUCCUGACCUCAGGUGAUCUGCCCACCUCGGCCUCCCAAAGUGCUGGGAUUACAGGCAUGAGCCACCGCACCUGACCAUUAUAUAGUUGGAAUAACACACUGAAAUAAUGGAUCAGUGCAUAUCUUCAGCAAUGAACAGUGCAUUUGUUUACAGCAUGUUGCUGCAUGGGGUGAACCCUUAGGCUGGUAGCGACUCCAAGCUGUGGUUGGGUUUGCUAGUGCCAAGUUGUUUACGUGCCUCCCCUGGGCCCCUUCCUUCCCUGCUGCUCCUUCUUCCUCCCAGCCUGCUGAGCUUGCUGCCCCGACUCCCUUCCUCUCUCCUCUCCACUGAGGUUCUGCCAGCUGGAGAAAUUCCUCCCGUUGCCCUUCCACCUUUCUGAGAACUGUGGGUUGGCAAGGGACCAGGAUACUCCGUGACGGAAAGUGCUUUUGUGAAGGAUGCUGAGGUCUGUGGGCCUGCAGCCCCGGCCCAGGGUGGAAGUGAGGUCUUACGGGAGGACCCAGUGCCUGUUGCAGGUAGAGCCAGAGGGACUUUUGCAUCGAGUAGAUUCUGCACUUGCCUCUUUGUUUUUGUUUUGGGUCUCGUUCUGUCGCCCAAGCUGGAAUGCAGUGGCGUGGUCUCUGCUCACUGCAACCUCUGCCUCCCAGCUUCAAGCAAUUCUGUGCCUCAGCCUCCUAAGUAGCUGGGAUUACAACAUCUGGCUCAUUUUUUGUUUCACCAUGUUGGCCAGGUUGGUCUUGAACUCCUGACCUCAGGUGAUCUGCCGGCCUUGGCCUCCCAAAGUGCUGGGAUAGCAGGUGUGAGCCACCACAUCCGGCCUCUGUACUAUCUCUUGAAUGCCGCCUGGGUGCCAGAACCAGUGCCAGGCUGUGCCUCGUGCCUACUUGGUCUGGCCUCUUCCUUCUGUGCCUGCUUCCUUGAUGUUUUCUAUGGGCUGGGCUCAUUCUUACCGUGGAUUUCUUUGUAUUGACCACUUGGAUGAGUUUUGAAAAUCUUACAAUGUGGUGGAUAUUUUUAAGUACAUACUUGGUAUGCUCUGGGGGAAAGGCAGAUUUGACACACACAUACACACAAAAUCGAUAUGUAGUGUGAAUGGAGAGGCAGCGGCAGAGUGGGAAUUGUGUGAGGAAACUGACUCUUGCUUCAGAAAUGCUUGGAGCACUUGUGGUGUCCUGGGACGCCCUCUCUGGAAGGACUUUGGUGCCGGUGGAGGGACCACAUUCGGAGCCUGAGAGCAGUGUGCACUUUCAUCCACAGGCUUGAUUUGGUUUCAUUUUGCUUUUUGAGAAAGAAAGCAGCAUUGUGGAUGGAGGAGGGCUAGGAGGGUGGCAGCUGUUCUAAUAGGAACCAUUUUUACAGCAGAGAAGUGCCAUUCCUGAGAUCUCCAGAGCUGGCUUCCCUCCUCUCACUGUCCUAUCCAUUGUCCAUUGUUCUGUUGGCACAAUGGGGCUGAUUUUUCCAUAGGAAUCUGACUAAAUUUUGCAUAGCCGUACAGAGAACUGCCAGUUAGGGGGACAGAGUCAAGAGUGACACAGGCUCAAAUGCUGAGGGUUGCCUGUGCUUGGACUGUGUCUCAGAACUGCCCUACGCUUUGCUUUCAGUCAUCAGUUUUAUAUAGUUAAGAAAUAAAAAUAGCACUUUUUCUAAAGGAAAAAUAAAAUGGAUUAGUUUAUGGGAGGGACAGUCACACAUAGCUUUGAAAGGCUGCUUAGCUGGAGAGGGAGUGGGAGUCUUCAGCAUUGUUAACUUUAGCACACAGUGGGUGAUUGGGCACAUCAGAGGGAUACGACCCUGUUUUUCAAGCCUGGGUUCCAGGGGUGCAGCUGUUUUGGGCCAUUUACAGCAGUGGAAUUUGGAUGGUGCAGAUAUUGCCCAUAGAAGCUCACUCUUUCCCCUCCCUUCCCCUCCCUCCCUCCCUUCCCCUCCCUUUCUCCCUCCCCCCCCCACCUUCCUCCUUUUUUUUUUUUUUGAGAUGGAGCCUCACUCUAUCACUCAGGCUGAGUGUAGUGCCAUGAUCUCGGCUCACUGCAAUCUCCGCCUCCUGGGUUCAAGUAAUUCUCCUGCCUCAGCCUCCUGAGUAACUGGGAUUACAGGUACAUGCCCCCACACCCAGCUGCUUUUUUUGUUUUUGAGACGGAGUUUCCGCUCUUGUUGCCCAGGUUGGUGUGUAACGGCACAAUCUCGGCUCACUGCAACCUCCACCUCCUGGGUUCAAGCAAUUCUUCUGCCUCAGUCUUCCGAGUAGCUGGGAUUACAGGCUUGUGCCACCAUGCCUGGCUAACUCUGUAUUUUUAGUAGAGAUGGGGUUUCUCCAUGUUGGUCAGGCUGGUCUUGAACUCCCAACCUCAGGUGAUCUGCCCACCUCUGCCUUCCAAAGUGCUGGGAUUACAGGUGGAAGCCACCAUGCCCAGCCUGCAAAUUUUUGUAUUUUUAGUAGAGAUGGGUUUCGCCAUGUUGGCCAGGCUGUUCUCAAACUUCUGACCUCAGGUGAUCCAUCCUCCCCAGCCUCUCAAAGUGCUGAGAUUAGAGGUGUACCUGGCCCCAUAGAAGCUGUACCUGGCCCCAUAGAAGCUUUGUAAAAAGAAAAUGGAAUGAGAUUGAUCAGGGCUAUGUACUCGGAGUUGUGAGGCAGUGAUGUCUACGCUUGGCUGUUAACUUGGUGGUUUAUACGCUACAAGGCACAUAAAAUUAUUUGGGGGGAGAGGAGAAUGUGUGCUUUCCUAACUCUUACCAUGUCUUAGACACAGAGGGUCGUGAUUAACCAGCUGUUGAGGAUGUAGUUUUUCUCAACACUAAAUCAUUCUGUGAGAGAAGUCCAUAAACUUGACUGAUUUUAACGGCCUGUGAGUUGGAAAUCUUUAUGAGAAAUGCUGUUGAGGGAUAGGAAGUCAGUCUGGGAUGAUACGCACAGGGCGGAGGAGCUGGCCAUCAGUAGAGUGGUCCCAUUUGAUAAUGGAAAAACAUGUUGGACGGAAUGGAAAUGUUCCCAGUCAAGAUACCCUCAUGCCCAGAGCCAAGAAAAUCUUUAGACCAACCUCCGUCGGCGUCAGUUUCUCCUUCCUCAGUUUCUCCACGCUCCUCCCCGUGUCCCCCGAUCACGUAGAUUGUGUGAGUAGUUGUUCUGUUGUCUUUGAAAAGAUUGAUUUAUACAUUUGUACAGAAAAUCCCAGAGCCUUUUCCUCUUAAUGCUAUAAAGUAGCCAUUUAAUGAGGCGUUUGGAAGGCCACCCAGCCACUUGAAAUCUGAAGUGUCAUGCUGAGGGAUUGUUACCAAGAAGUAUUUAUGUUGGAGUCAAGGUUUUAGCUCUCUUUUGGCAAUUGAUUAAUUUACUGUGAGAGCCAAUAAGUCCUUGGACAGAUGAGGAACAGAUUGGAGGGGAGGAGCUUCUGUUUCGGCCCUUUCUCUUGGAAUGUUUUUAACACUUGGCGGAGGGACAACUGUGUCUUUUUGUUUUGUUAAAUAGUUCAAGUUGGCCAUUUUCUGGUGCUCUUCAGAAAAGCCUGUCAGGAGGAUGGGAGGGAAGUGCCUGGGUCUCCUGGUCCCUGGCUUCACACGGACCUCACGCUCCUGUUGAGAAAAUGUUUGAAAUGCGUUUUCUUAAAAGUAGGACUGUGUAAAUAAUAGAUUAGGUCUGAAAGGGCCAUCUGAGUAUAAAGGCAGUAGGAGCCUUGCAUGGAAAGCUGCUUACUCACCAACGCUAGUUUUAAGUGUUGGAAGAAAAACGGUGCCACUUUCUAGAAUUUGGAAGUGGGCCUGGUGGUGGCCCUACUGUGUCCGAGUAAGGGUCUCCUCUCCUUGGAGGCAUUAAAAGACAUGGGGACCAGGUGCAGUGGCCCACGCCUGUAAUCCCAGCAUUUUGGGAGGCUGAGGUGGGCAGAACGUUUGAGGUCAGGAGAUCGAGACCAGCUUGGCCAACAUGGUGAAAUCCUGUCUCUACUAAAAAUACAAAAAUUAGCCAGGCAUACCUUGUAAUCUCAGCUACUCAGGAGAUUGAGGCCAGAGAAUCGCUUGAACCCAGAAGGCAGAGGUUAUAGUGAGCCCAGGUGGUGCCACUGCAGUCCAGCCUGGGUGACAGAGAGAGACUGUCCCCCUCCAAAAACAAAAACAAAGCCCCCAAAAACAAACCACAUAGGAAGCAUUGCUCUCCUGAGCAUUGACAAGGCUGGGGUAUUCUUUUUUGUGUGUGUGGAGAGACCAAGAGAAGCUGUGGGGCAGUGCUGUCCAUUAGAACUUAACGGGUGAUGCCGUGUUACGUGAGGUGGCCAAACGGCAGCCACUAGCCACGUGCAAAACGUGAUGCGCCUGACCCAAGAAUUGAAUUUUUCAUUUUAAUUAGGUUUAAGUAGCAGCAUGUGGCGAGUGGGUAUCCUGUUGGACAGUGCAGUGCUGUGGGCCUUUUUAAUGCUUUUGCAAAAUGACUCUAUUAACCCUCUUUGAUUUUUCACAGCCUGCUCACAGGGGAUGGAGGUUAGGUAGAGGGUCAGUUCCCGGUAGGGAAAAAUGAAGAAACCAAAUGAAUGGCUCAGAUCAUGGACUAGUAAAAACAGCCAAGCCGGGCCUAGAGCCAGGGCCCCUUCUUCCCCGACUCCCACCCCCUCCAGCCGCUCAGAACCCAGCUUUAGAUGUUAAUUACUAGUACUGCUUAGCAGGGUACCCCAACCACAAAGGGAAGGCUGGCUUAACAUUUGGAAUCUUGGCUGUGAGCUGUGUAUUUAAUCUUCUCCUUUUAAAUCAAACAGGCUUAAUGAGCGGCGAGAGUUGGGAAGUCCCUGUGGGCCCCUAAAUCCAAGGAGGAGUUUCUCUGGAACCAGAGGAAACAGGCCAGACAGGUGGAGUAAUAGUAACUCCCCUCCCGCCUGGCUGCCUGUGCUUGCCCUUGUCUGUGGCAAUUAGAUGGGGGGAAGAAGGACCUGUGGAGACUGGUGGUCCUAGUCUCCUAUACUUACUAUGCUGUAAGGAGGCCAGACCCCGGGACACAUGGCAUCCACCUGGAUAAUUCCUUGCUAUCAGUGCGUCUGGCAGCCAUAUUAACAUGCCCCUUGCUGUGCCAUAUCAGCCAGGACCCUGAGCCGAGUGCCGUCAUUGACUCAGCCCCAUCCUCACCUUCUUUCAUUCUUGAUGUUCCCUCUCAUCCUGGAGGACUGUAAGGAAAGCUCAGGGUUUGGUUUUUUUUUUUUUUUUUUUGAGACAGAGUCUCAUUCUGUCGCCCAAGCUGGAGUGCAAUGGUGCAGUCUUGGCUCACUGCCACCUCCGCCUCCCAGAUUCAAGCGAUUCUCCUGCCUCAGCCUCCCAAGUAGCUGGGAAUACAGACAUGUGCCACUAUGCCCAGGUAAUUUUUGUAUUUUUAUUUUUAUUGAUUGAGAUGGAGUUUGGCUUUUGUUGCCCAGGCUGGGGUACAGUGGCAUGAUCUCAGCUCACUGCAACCUCCACCUCCCAGUUUCAAGCAGUUCUCCUGCCUCAGCCUCCCAAGUAGCUGGGAUUACAGGCAUGUACCACCACACCUAGCUAAUUUUGUAUGUAGUAGAGACAGUUUCACCAUGUUGGCCAGGCUGGUCUCAAACUCCUGACCUAAUGCUAUCCACCCAUCUGGGCCUCCCAAAGUGUUGGGAUUAUAGGAGUGAGCCAGCAUGCCUGGCGGUUUUUCCUUUUUUUCUUUUUUUGAGAUGGAGUUUUGCUCUUGUUGCCCAGGCUAGAGGGUCAUGGUGUAAUCUUGGUACUGCAACCUCCACCUCCUGGGUUCAAGUGAUUCUCCUGCCUCAGCCUCCCGAGUAGCUGGGACUAUAGUCACGGGCCACCAUGCCCAACUAAUUUUGUAUUUUUAGUAGAGACGGGUUUCUCUGUGUUGGUCAGGCUGGUCUUGAACUUUCAACCUCAGGUGAUCCACCUGCCUCACCCUCCCAAUGUGGUGGGGUUACAGGUGUUAGCCACCAUGCCCGGCCAGUUUUUCCAUUUCUCAGGGCACUGGAGAGGAGUUGGCAUCGUGGGCAGGGUACUGAGCCACUGAGGCAGGGAGAUCCAGGUGGGAAUGCUGAACACUCGCCAACACUGUCAAUCACAGCAGAGCCUUCCCCAUUGCUCCCAGUACAUUUUUGCCAUUGCCAGUCUCAUCCCAUGCCCAAACCAUGCCAGUGUGCCCAGCGGAGCCAAGGAGAGGCAAGACUGAUACUGUUAUCAAAGGGUUAAUAAGUAAUUAGAAGGGAAAUCUGCUGUGACAAAUCCAAGCCACCAGCCAUGGCUGCUUUUUGUUUUCUUUGGAGACAGGGUUUUACUGUUUUGGCCAGUCUGGAGCACAGUGGUGCAGUCGCAGCUCACUGAGGCUUCAACCUCCCAGGCUCUGCCAGUCCUUCCGCCUCACCUCCUGAGUGCUCUGACUGCAAGUGUGCACCACCAUGCCUGGCUAACUUUUUACAUUUUGUGUAGAUACGGGGGUCUCAAUACGUGUUGCCCAGGCUGGCCUUGAACUCCUGGGUUCAAGCAUUUCUCCUACCUCAGCCUCCAAAACUGCUGAGAUUACAGGUGUGAGACACCAUGCCCCGCCUCUAACUCUUAACAAAACUCAUUUCUGGAUCACCUUCUCCUCAGGGUCUCUACCCAUCUUUCUUUUCUCUUUUUUUUUUUUUUUUUUUGAGACAGAGUUUCGCUCUUGUCACCCAGGCUGGAGUGCAAUGGUGCGAUCUCGGCUCACCGCAACCUCCGCCUCCUGGGUUCAGGCAAUUCUCCUGCCUCAGCCUCCUGAGUAGCUGGGAUUACAGGUACGUGCCACCAUGCCCAGCUAAUUUUUUUUGUAUUUUUAGUAGAGAUGGGGUUUCAUCAUGUUAACCAGGAUGGUUUCGAUCUCUUGACCUCAUGAUCCACCCGCCUCAGCCUCCCAAAGUGCUGGGAUUACAGGUGUGAGCCACAGCAUCCGGCUGUACCCAUCUUUCAACCCAUGUUACCUGUUGCUCUGCUCACCAGCAGUAACCACAGCAGAUCACGGAACAAGAUCUUAUAAACAUCAAGGGCCAAGAUGUAUUUACUGUUUACUGAUAGGGAGAUCACAGGAUAUAGUGUUCACACUGGGCACUUCUGAGAGCAAAAGAGAGCACUGAUAAUUAUGCUGGAAUAAACCAGGAUGAUCUAAGAACAGCAGGGCAGGUUGGGCAUCUACUGUGUGCCAGGCUGUGCCUGAGUUUGGGGUACACAGGUGUAGUGGGCCUAGUUUCUUUUUGAGGGGUAUGGGGAAGUCUUGCUCUGUCAUCCAGGCUGGAAUACAGUGGUGGGACCACAGCUCUCUGCAGCCUCGACAUCCCAGACUCAAGCGAUUCUCCCACCUCAUCCUCCCAGCUAGCUAGGUCCACAGGUGUGCACCAACACACGAGCUAAUUUUUUUGUAUUUUUCUGUAGGGAUAAGGGGGUCUCGCUGUGUUGCUAAGGCUGGUUUUGAACUUCUGGACUCCAGCGAUCCUCCUGCCUUGGCCUCCCAAAGUGCUGGGAUUAUAGGUGUGUGCCACUGUGCCCAGCUGGGCCUAGUUUCUUAAGGAGCUCACAAUCUGAUGGUGGAGACAGGUGUGUAGACACAGGCAGUGCUACAGUGUGGGUGCUGAAACAGGUGUGAACAAAGUAUGGAGUGGGAGGAGCAAUGGAGAGGGCAAGGGGGGGCUUUUCUAGAGGGAGGCAGACAAAAACUAAGCUUUGCUUUUUCCUGUCAUGGCUUAUUUCUCCAAGAAAAUAUUUUUUGGAUAAUCUUGAAACUAUUAAACUUAUAUUCACUGACUGGGGCCUUCCGCCCUUGCCCUUGUGAGGGUUGUUUGUGUUGGCCUUGGCAGAGUUAGGUCGUGGUGAAGACCGGAGAUAGCAAUCAUCCUUGAGACCAUCCUGGCCCCACGUUACUGCUUAGCCCGCCACUGAUUGCGGUAUGCAUUAAAAAACAAAAACCUGGCUGGGCGCUGUACCUCAUGCCUGUAAUCCCAACACUUUGGGAGGGCAAGGUGGGAGGAUUGCUUGACCCCGGGAGUUCAAGACCAGCCUAGGCAACAUGGUGAAACCCUGUCUCUACAAAAAACAAAAAUUAGCCAUGCAUGGUGGUGCACACCUGCAGUCCCAGCUACUCAGGAGGGCGAAGGAAGGCACGAGAAUCACUUGAACCUGGGAGGUGGAGGUUACAGUGAGCCGAGAUCCUGCCACUGCACUCCAGCCUGGGUGACAGAGUGAGACUCUGUCUCAAAACAAAAUGCCAAAAAGCUUAAUGCAUGGAUAAUGAAUGAAUGUCCGUGAGUAUAGAGAGACUUUCCAGAAGAAUGAAUGUAGUGAUGAGCCAUGUCUAAGUCUGUCUUAAAGUGUAAAUCACCGCGCGUAGGCUCUUACUCUAUUCUUCUUAUACUGUUUAGUUUCUCAGCAGGGAUUGUGUGUGUGUGUGUGUGUGUGUGUGCUACAGUUACUAAAAAUUUCAGACUAGUAAGAAAAAAUUAGCUUAGGCAUUUGUUAGCAUGAAGUUGUAUAGAAAUUGCUGAGUUUAGUCUGCUAUCAGCAUAUUGCUUUUAUUUAUUUUUAUUUUUAUGUUUUAGGUGCAGUUUUGCUCUUGUCACCCAAUGGUGAUGUAAUCUCAGUUCACUGCAACCUCCGUCUCCCAGGUUCAAGAGAUUCUCCUGCCUCAACCUCCCAAGGAGCUGGGAUUGCAGGCAGGCGACACCACGCCUGGCUAAUUUUUUUUUUUUGUAUUUUUAGUAGAGAUGGGGUUUCAUCAUGUCGGCCACGCUGGUCUUGAACUCCUAACCUCAGGUGAUCCACCUGCCUCGGCCUCCCAGUGUGCUGGGAUUACAGGAGUGAGCCACAGCAUCCAGUCAGCACAUUGCAUUUUAAGGGUGCUCUAUAUGAGUAGAGUUUGCACUGAAGUUUUGACCGAAAGAAAUUUAGUCUUCAGGCCUGGCACAGUGGCUCACACCUGUAAUUCCAGCACUUUGGGAGGCCAAGGCGGGCGCAUCAUCUGAUGUCAGGAGUUCGAGACCAGCCUGCCCAAGAUGGUAAAACCCUGUCUUUUCUAAAAAUAUAAAAAAUUAGCUGGGCAUGGUGGUGGGCACUUGUAAUCCCAGCUACUCGGGAGGCUGAGACAGGAGAAUUGCUUGAACCCAAGAGGCAGAGGUUGCAGUGAGCCCAGAUGGUGCCAAUGCAUUCCAGCCUGGGUGACAGAGCAAGGCUUCAUCUCAAAACAAACAAAACAAAAGGAAAUUUAGUCUUAAGCCUUUCAUUCCCCUAAGCUCUGGCCUCAGCUGCAGCUGCAUCUGGCCUACGAUUGAAUGGACUAGAAGCCAGGCACGGUGGGGUGUAGGAUUUCAACAGUGGUCUCAGUCCAGAUUUUCCUGCUAUGGGCUGAGUGACAUCAAGGAGAUUGGGCCAUUCUUGAUGUUUUUUCCCUUCCCAGCUUUUAUGCAUUGCACUAAUAAGAUCAGAAUUAUUUUUAAAGGGAGAAUUUUCCUCAGUCCCACCACCCAGUACAUUUAUUCUUUUUUUGGUUGUUUUUUUUUUCUUUUUUUUCCUUCUUACACCCAGUACAUUUCAACUGUAUUUUGCUUUUCCAAGCACUUCCAGACCCCUGUCUGCAUGCACACUCAGAAUAACAUGGUUAUGAUUAUGCUGUAUCCUGGCUUCAUUUUAGUCUGGUUUUUCUAUAGUCUGAAAUUAAGUUUGGGGUGAGCCGGUGUGGCCUGAGGAUUGAAAGAUAAUGUCCUAAGUAUGGCUCUAUCCUCAGCCCAAUGAAUCCCUAACGCUGCUUGAGGGAAAUGCCCCCGAAGGUAAACCAAAAGGUUACUCAGGUGCUAGAAAGUUAUUCUGGAGUUCAUUACCUCAUUUCCUCAAUCUUGUCCCAAUCUUGCCCUUUCUUCUUUUCUUUUCUAUUUAUUUUUUCCUUUGAGAGGGAGUGUCACCCUGUCACCCAGGCUGGAGUGCAGUGGGGUGAUCUCGGUUCCCUGCAACCUCUGCCUCCCGAGUAGUUGGGUUUAUAGGCAGGCACCACCACGCCCAACUACCUUUUGUAUUUUUUAGUGGAGAUGGGGUUUUACCAUGUUGGCCAGGCUGGUCUUGAACUCCUGACCUUGUGAUCUGCCCGUCUCUGCCUCCCAAAGUGCUGGGAUUACAGGAGUGAGCCAUCGCGCCCAGCCUCCUUUUCCUUUUUUUGCCAAGUGCAGUGGACUGAACAUUUCUGUCCCCGUAAAAUCCAUAUAUUGAAAUCCUAACCCUGAAGGUUGAAGGUCUCAGGAGGUGGGACCUCUUGGAGCUGGUUAGGUUGGAGGGUGGAACUCUCAUGAAUGGGAUGAGCGCUGUUACGAAAGAGGCCUCUGCCAUGUGAGGACACACCAGAACACAGUCAUCUGUGAAUGGCCUCUCACCAGGUUCCACCAGUACCUUGAUCUUGGCCUUUCUGGCCCCAGAACUGUGAGAAAGAAAUUUCUGCUGUUUAUAAGCCACCCAGUCUAUGGUAUUUUGUGAUAGCAGCCCAGAUGGAAGAAGCUACCAAGAUACUUUUAGCUCACUGACACAUCUUCUGUUGGGAUUUGUCAGAAAGACGAUCUUCUCAUUUUGCUGAGCCGAUAGAGUGACUUUAAAUUCUGCCCGGAGCCUUACAUGAACAUAUUGUAAAUCCUCUUCCUCUUUUUUUUUUCACUCAGCCACAAAACACGCUUACCUCCCUCAUGCAGGCGCCUCUACCUUUUCCCUUCCUCACUGUCUGCUCCCACCCUUUCUAAAGACGAUGUUACUGUGUUGACGCCCGCGCUGGGAAGCCUUUCCCACCUCACUCUUCUUUCUUCAUGGCUGUCGAUAGUAGCGGGGGCCAUGUUCCAGCCUCUGUCAGGGAACUGGCUUUAUUAAGCACCAAUGCUGUGCUUAAUACCUUCUCACUGUAACCCCCAGCCACACUGUGCAAUAGCAGUUUGUUCCAUUUUGCUCAUGUGGAGGCUGCAUGUUGGAAUUUCAGAAUUGUGCACAAGGACACAGACUCGGGAGCACUAGGAUCCAGAGCUGGUUGACUUCAGAGCCUGGCAUUUCCCAUUGGACCAUGCUUUGUGUCUGCCCUCUCUGACAUCUCCCAGGUAUUGUGACGGAAAGGUAGAAAAAAAAUAGACUACUCUAGGCGUACACCUGUGGGGCUGGAGACUCAAUUGAGAAUGCGUGUCAGCUGGUUUCUUGGAGGUAACUGUUGGCAGAGUUAGCUCAUCCUAGUGACUUUAUUGCCUCAUCAGAUUCCUGUAUGAUACUCUCAGGCACGUGUGUGUGUGUGUGUGUGUGUGUGUGCUCGCGCGUGCAUUUUAAAUAUCCACCUACCUAGGAUCUCAGUUCAGUGCCUAGAUUUUGAGUUCAUCUACCUCAGUAGUGUUUUAAACCUUGGACUUUCCCCAGCUUCUUUCCCCAGAUAGAAUUCAUCUGCUCAGAAAAAGUUUAGUGAAUUGCUGCUACAUGUCAGGCCGUGUGCUGAGGGCUGGAUAUUAAAUCCAGAGAAACCGUUAAAUAGUUUAAAGUUCUGUUUCUCAAACAAGGAUUUCUGAGCUUUUAGAGAUGCAUAAGAAUUUUUAAAAUUGUGUUUGUCACAAUGAUUUUAUUUUACUGGCUGGAUGCAGCGGCUCAUGCCUGUAAUCACAGGACUUUGGGAGGCCAAGGUGGGCAGAUCACUUGAGCUCAGGAGUUUGAGACCAGCCCCGGCAACAUACUGAGAUCCUGUAUCCUCAAAAAUUUUUUAAAUUAGCCAGCCAUGGUGGCAUGCACCUGUAGUUCCAGCAACUUGGGAGGUUGAGGUGGAAGGAUUGCUUGAGCCUGGGAGGUCAAGGCUGCAGGGAGCCAUGAUUGUGCCAUUGCACUCUAGCCUAAGUGACAGAGACCCUGUCUCAAAAAAAAAAAGUUACAAAGAAAGCUUCUUUUAUAGCAAUAUUUUACAGCUGAAAGAUAGAGCAAUAAAAUCAUAUUUUAUUUUAUUUUUGAGACGGAGUUUUGCUCUUGUUGCCCAGGUUGGAGUGCAAUGGUGCGAUCUCAGCUCACUGCAAUCUCUGCCUCCCGGAUUCAAGCUAUUCUCCUGCCUCAGCCUCACGAGUAGCUGGGAUUACUGGCAUGCACCACCAUGCCUGGCUGACUUUGUAUUUUUAGUAGAGGCAGGGUUUCUCCAUGUUGCUCAUUGGUCAGGCUUGUCUUGAACUCUGAACCUCAGGUGAUCCGUCUGCCUCGGCCUCCCAAAGUGCUGGGAUUCUAGGCAUGAGCCACCACAGCCAGCCAAUAUUUUGUUUUCAUAAAUCAAUGUUACUCAAAUGAGAGCUCUGGAUGUGGGGUGGGGGAUUUGGUGAGGCUUUUUUCCUUUAAAAUGGGCCUAUACAUUACUCAUGUGAAAAAUACAAGGUUAAACUAUUUUUUUUACCUUCUGCAGAAACAUAUUUUAAAAUAUUUUUUGAAUUAGCACCAACAGUGUAUGAACUUGAACGCUGAAGUUUAGGGCACCAGGACUGUGUCAGGCCAAUGGGGAACAUAUUCCUGGGAAGGUAAACCUUGAGUUUCUCUUACUACAGUGCGAAAAUUGUGUUCCUGCCUCUGAAGUCUGUGGGCAGCCUAAACUGCUUUUCAUCUUCUCUGUGGAACUUUCCUAGCCAGCCAGUAUGAUCCAUGUCCUCAGCCCUCGGAGUGUUGUCCACACCUCUGUUAUUCUCUGUGUUGUCCUGAUGUUCACAUGUAAGUCGCAGGUGCUGUGUGUUCGGAAGAAUCGCCGGCUGAAGUUGCACUUGAGAUCCCAACUGUCGCUGACAUGGAAUCUCUGUGUUCCCCCAGCAUCACUGAGUGCCUUCUAUUGAUGUGAAAUGAAAUGUUCUCUUUUUCUGGGGCUAGGGCAGAAAAAGAAGUAGCAUGCAGGUGAGGCACGGUGGCUCGUGCCUGUAAUCCCAUCACCUUGGGAGGCCAAGGUGGAUAGAUCAUGAGGUCAGGAAUUCCAGACUGGCCAAGAUAGUGAAACCCCGUCUCUAAUAAAAAUACAAAAAUUAGCUGGGCGUGGUGAUGAGCGCCUGUAAUCACAGCUACUUGGGAGGGUGAGUCAGGAGAAUUGCUUGAACCCGGGAGGCGGAGGCUGCAGUCAGCCAAGAUUGUGCCACUGCCCUCCAGCUUGGGCCACAGAGCAAGACUCUGUCUCAAAAAACGAACAAAAGUAUUAGCAUGCAGAAAGUUUCCAACAUCCAACGAAUCAGUCUAGUUAAGUACAGAAGAGACACAUAUGAAACAGGAAAAUGCAGAUGAUAUAAGGUCUCAUUUUGUUUGUUGGUUUUUUUGUGUGUGUUUUUAUUUUAUUUUUGAGACGGUGGCUCAUUCUGUUGCCCAGGCUGGGGUGCAGUGCCAAAUCUCAGCUCACGGCAACCGCCACCUCCCAGGUUCAAAUGAUUCUCCUGCCUCAGCCUCCUGAGUAGCUGGGAUUACAGGUGCCUGCCACCACACCUGGCUAAUUUUUUUUGUGUGUUUUUACUUUUAGACAGGGUUUCACAAUAUUGGCCAGGCUGGUCUCAAACUCCUGACCUCAGGUGAUCUACCCGUCUCCACCUCCCAGAGUGCUGGGAUUAUAGGCAUGAGCCAUUGCACCCGGCCAGUUUUGUGUAUCUUUUCUCCCUACCUCUAGAGGGUGGACACUCAACAUUUGUUUCCUCCCUGGAGUCAACUAUGUUACAGGCAUUUUGUUUAGUGAUGAACUCAUAUGAAUCAUACCAAAAGUACAGAGUAUGGAAGUGUAACCAGGUAUCCCACGUUCUUGGGCUCCUUCGCCCCAGGAAUGGGGGAGAGGCCCUGGCGGCAUGGUGAGGUUACCUGCUAAGUAAAUAUAGGAACCAAAGAGUUUUGCAGAGAGAGAUUUAUGAGAGAGAGAGAGAGAGGUAGAGAGAGAGCUCCCAUGCUGUUGUGGGAGGGGAUCCCAGAGAGGGAAAUGCGCGCAGGCAAGGUGCAGUGGAGUUUUAACUUUGAAGUUAUUUCUGCUCCAUUUAUGUUCUUGUCCAAUGAGAGGAGUUCUUUCAAACUUCCCCUGGAGUCAUUGAUCCUUGACUCUGAUUCCAGAUUGGUUGCUUGGGCCCACAACUGAGCGUCUCCUUCCAGGGCAUUCGGCGGGCUUUCUGAACAAAGGAAGCCCACCUAGAAUUUUACCUAGCUCAGGCGUGGGAAAGUUAGACAAAGAACUCUAGGUUCCCCGAUGCAGAGGCGGAUGGAGGCAUGGCGCUGGGAAGUUCUUGCCUUUGAAACCAUGCCCCUUAUGGACCCAGGAAGAGAAGUUAGCAUAGUCCCUCAGUAGGAUCCAGACCUGGCUUCUUCAAAUGGUUGGACCAUUCUUGCCUCUGUAGGAUUAUCUGCUUCUAUCAGUUUAUCGAUAACUGCACGUAGUAUAUGGCCAAUGAUAAAAGUGGACAUAUGGCUUUAAAGCUGGGCUUCAGGACAGUAGGAAGGAGCCCUAGUAAAUUAGGCUCCUCUGGCAGUUGCCAGGGAGGGGGAAAGGACAAGAGAUGACUUACAUAAAAUGCUGACAUGGCCAGGGCAGUCCUGUUGAAGCUGUUGGGUGAAGGUGAGUGCUUUAGGGGUUUGAUGCAGAGAGCUUUUCUCAGAGCUGCUCUCCUGCCAUCCCCAAAGUUUGUGCUGGGGUGUGUGUUGAGGAAAACCCCAUCAGAAAUGCUUAGAGGAUUUUGCUGAUUAAUUUUCUACUAAAAGUGAGUUUCCUAAAUCUUCCUGGACAAAUACUUACUACUCAUUGAGAUACAGUUUUUCUGGUUUUCCUGAACACUAGUGUGUUGCCAGUUUAAAAAGGGGAAGGGGAGAUGGAGGCAAGAGCUGACCUUUCUAAGAACUUGUUAUACUUGCCAAGCAUUUUUAAUAUGCAUUUAGGCUAAUGCUAUAAAAAUAGGUGACUUUGGCCAGGCGCGGUGGCUCACACCUGUAAUCCUAGCACUUUGGGAAGCCAAAGCAGGUGGAUCACUUGAGGUCAGGAAUUUGAGACCAGCCUGGCCAACAUGAUGAAACCCCAUCUCUACUAAAAAUACAAAAAUUAGCCAGGCAUGGUGGCAUGUGUCUGUAAUCCCAGCUACUUGGAAGGCUGAGGCACAAGAGUUGCUUAAACCCAGGAGGCAGAGGUUACAGUGAGCCAAGAUCACGCUUCUGCACUCCAGCCUGAGCAACAGAACGAGACUCUGUCUUCAAAAAAAAGAAAACAAAAAAAGUGGCCGGGCGCGGUGGCUCAAGCCUGUAAUCCCAGCACUUUGGGAGGCCAAGGCGGGUGGAUCACGAGGUCAAGAGAUUGAGACCAUCCUGGUCAACAAGGUGAAAUCCCAUCUCUACUAAAAAUAUAAAAAAAUAACUGGGCAUGGUGGCGCGUGCCUGUAGUCCCAGCUACUCAGGAGGCUGAGGCAGGAGAAUUGCCUGAACCCAGGAGGCGGAGGUUGCGGUGAGCUGAGAUCGUACCAUUGCACUCGUCUGGGUAACAAGAGUGAAACUCCAUCUAAAAAAAAAAAAAAAAAGUGACUUGAAGGAUCUUGAUUUUUGUCUGUUUCAAAUUGGAGAAGUAUAUACUUCUCAAUCAAUUUUCAGUACCUUUGUGAGGGGACAUAAAUAGUGUUGGGGAGUCCACACACCUACAUCUGAGGUUUUUGUUUUUGAGAGAGAGUUUUGCUCUUGUCGCCCAGGCUGGAGUACAGUGGCGCGAUCUUGGCUCAACGCAACCUCUGCUUCCUGGGUUCAAGCAGUUUUCCUGCCUCAGCCUCCCAAGUAGCUGGGAUUACAGGGAUGUGCCACUACACUUGGCUAAUUCUUUAUUUUUAGUAGGAACGGGGGUUUUGCCAUGUUGGUCAGGCUGGUCUCUAACUCCCAAUCUCAGGUGAUCUUCCCACUGGCCUCCCAAAGUGCUGGGAUUACAGGUGGGAGCCACCAAGGCCAGCCUUUUGUUUUUGUUUUUAACAGUUUUAUUGAGAUUACGUUAUUACACAUUUCAUGCAUUUAAAGUUUACAAUAAAUGGUUUUUAAGUAAAUUCAAGCAGAUCUGCAGACAUCCCUCUAUCUACUUUUAGAACAUUUUAAUCACCCCAAAAAGAAACCCUGCAUCCAUUAGCAGUCACUCUUCCUCCCCCACAGCACUUCCCAUUCCCUGGCAACCACUCAUCUAUUUGCUAUGUCUCUGAAUUUCCUUUUCUGCACACUUCAUGUAAAUGAAAUCUAUGUGGUCUUUUGUGACUGGCUUCUUUUCACUAAGCAUAUUUUCAGUGUUCAUACAGGUGUGAUAUAUGUCACUACUUCAUUUCUUUUUAUCACCAGAUGGCAGUCCAGUGUUCUGUAUUCACCAGGUGAUAGAUAUUGGGGUUGUUUCCACAUUUUUGCUAUAGUAACUAAUAAGAACAUUCAUGUUCAAGAUUUGUGUGGACAUAAUGUUUUCGUUUCUCUUGGGUGUAUACUUAAGAGUGGAAUUGCUGGGUCAUUUGGUAAUUCUAUGUUUAACAUUUUGAAAAACUGUGAAACUUUUCUGACGUAACUACACAAUUUUACAUUCCUGCCAACAAUGAGUGAGAGUUUCAGUUUCUACGCAUCCUCACCAACGCUUGUUAUUAUGUCCUUUUUAAAAAUUAUCACCAGCCGGGUGAGGUGGUUUAUGCCUGUAAUCCCAGCACUUCGGGAGGCUGAGGUGGGUGGAUCACCUGAGUUCAGGAGUUCGAGACCAGCCUGGCCAGCACAGUGAAACCUCGUCUCUAUUAAAAAUACAAAAAAAUGAGUGGGGCAUGAUGGCAAGCCCUGUAAUCCCAGCUACUAGGGAAGGCUGAGGGAGGAGAUGAGCCGAGAUUGCGCCAUUGCACUUCAGCCUGGCAAUAAGGGGGAAACUGUCUCAAAAAAAAAAAAAAAAAAAAAAAACCAACUAUUGCCAAUCUAAUGUGUAUGAAAUGGUCUCUCAUUGUGGUUUUGAUUUGCGUCUGUCUGAUAACUAAUGAUGUGUUACGGAUCUUUUCCUGGGUUUAUUGUCCAUUUUUGUAUAUCUUCUUUGGAGAAACAUCUGUUCAGAUCUUCAGCCUGUUACUCAGUUGAAUUAUCUGUUUACUAUUUAAUUGUUACAGGGAUUGAUUUGGAUACAUUCUCUUUUUUUUAUUUUUUAGACAGAGGCUCAUUCUGUUGCCCAGGCUAGAAUGCAGUGAUACAAUGUCCGCUCACUGUAACCUCCACCUCCCAGGUUCAAGCAGUUCUCCAGCUUCAGCCUCCCAGUAGCUGGUAUUACAGGUGUGCAUCAUUACACUCGGGUAAUUUUUGUAUUUUUAGUAGAGAUGGGAUUUCACCAUGUUGGCCAGGCUGAUCUCCAACGCCUGACCUUAGGUGAUCCACAAUUUUAUACUGCGCCCAGCCUGGAUACAUUCUUAACCCAAUUCCCUUAUUAGAUAUGAUUUGCAAAUAUUUUCUCUCCUGUGGGUUGCUUUUGUCAUUUUCUUGAUGAUAUCCUUUGAAACACAAACACUUUUAAUUUUGGGUUAGGCCAGUUUAUUAUUUUGUCACUUGUAGUUUUGGUUUCUUAUCUGAUAAGCCUUUGCAUAAUGGAAGAUCAUGAAGAUUUAUCCUUAUUUUUUCUUCUAAAAGUUGUAUAGUUUUAGCUCUUAUGUUAGGUCUGUGAUCCAUUUUGUAUUAAUUUUUGUUAAAACUUAUAAUUUUAUGCCAGGCGUGGUGGCUCAUGCCUGUAAUCCCAGCUACUCGGGAGGCUGAGGAAGGAGGUUCAAGUUCAAUCACUUGAACGCAGGAGGUGUAGGUUGCAGUGAGCUGAGAUCAUGGCCCUCCAGCCUGGCUGACAGAGUGAGACUGUCUCAAAGCAACAACAACAACAAGAACUUAAAAUUGUAUUAGGGUUUUAUUUCUUUGCAUGUCAGUUUCUCAUUGUUCCAGCACCAUUUAUGAAAAAGGUUUAUUAUUUGCCAAAAAACAAUUUUGGCAAAUAAUAAAGUCUGAUAAGGGAUUUGCAUUCAGCAGGAAAAAAAAAACGUCUUACAACUUGAAAGUAAAAAUUGUACUUUGGGAGGCUGAGGCUAGUGGAUCACCUGAGGUCAGGAGUUUAAGACCAGCCUGGCCACCGUGGUAAAACCCUGCCUCUACUAAAUACAAAAAAUUAGCCAGGCAUGGUUGGCGCAUGCCUGUAAUCCCAGCUACUUAGGAGGCUGAGGGCGGGAGAUUCUCUUGAACCCGGGAGGCAGAGGUUGCAGUGAGCCGAGAUUGCACCAUUGCACUCCAGCCUGGGAGACAGAGUGAUACUCUGUAUCAAAAAAAAAAAAAAAAGUAAAAAGUAAAUAUUAUUAUGUAAUUUAGAGGUAGAAAGAACAGGAAAGGCUGAUGCCUGUAAUCCAAACACUUGGGGAGGCCAAGGUGGGAGGAUUGCUUGAGCCCAGGAGUUUGAGACUAGCCUGUGCAACAUAGACCCUGUCUCUACUAAAAGUGCAAAAAUUUAGCUGGGUAGGGUGGCACAUGCUUGUAGCUCCAGCUACCCAAGAGGCUGAGAGAUGACACGGUGAGCCACGAUCACGGCACUGUACUCCAGCCUGGGCAAUGAGAAUGAGACCGUGUCUCCAAAAAAUGGAAAGGAAAAGUUGUUGUAAAUUCGAAAAAAACAAAAAGCUUUUUUUUUUAAAGAUGGAGUUUAGCUCUGGUUGCAGGCUGGAGUGUAAUGGCAUGAUCUCACUGCAGCCUCCACCUCCUGGGUUCAAGCGAUUCUCCUGCCUCAGCCUCCCGAGUAGCUGGGAUUACAGGCACCCACUACUACGCACAGCAGUUUUAUAUUUUUAGUUGAGACAGGGUUUCGCCAUGUUGGCCAGUCUGGUUUCGAACUCCUGACCUCAGGUGAUCUGCCCAUUUCAACCUCCCAAAGUGCUGGGAUUACAGCUGUAAGCCAUUGCACCCCUCCACCUUUUUUUUUAAGUAUUUUGGAGCAAUGUAUUUCUUUCAACUGUGUGGGUUUCAAUUAGCCAAAAUACAAACAAAACCAAACCAGCAAAAUAAUAACCAGUAAGUCUUUAUCAUGAGAUAUUUAUUCAACAUUAAGUUAGGCCACUUUAUACGCUCAAUUAUUAGUAAAAACUUAUUACAUCUACAAAUUACAAGUGGGUGAAGGUUAGCAUAGUGAAAUCAGCUAGAAAUGUUAAAAAUCUGGGAAAAGUUUAUUUAGUCAACAAUCAUUCAAUAAACAAACAUUUAAUGAGCCCUUACUGUGGGCAAGGCUGCUCAUAGUUGAAAGAUUUCUUAUCUUCCUUUUAAAUUAACCGGUAUUUAUAAACAUGCCAAUACAUUUUAUUGCCUGAGAAAACAAUUAAUAUUGCUAUUAUCAUGACCUAGAGGCUGAGAUGUGGAGAUUUGAGUCACUGGAAGUCAACACUUGUUAAUAUGUCUUUUUUAUUAUUAGUAGUAGAUGGUAAAUAUUAUUGGAAAGGUACAGAGACAGAAUUCCAGGCACAAUUACAUCAAAUAAGGCUGAGGUAUAGUUGAGCAUUAGGAAAGAAGCAGAACAUCUAAAUGCUGCUUGUCUUUCAGAUUCACCUAUAAAAUUAUGCAAGUGAAUCUGCUUUUACCCGAGGGAGUGAAUUUGUGGUUUUGUUUUGGUUUUUUUUAGACAGAGUCUUGCUCUGUUGCCCAGGCUGGAGUGCAGUGGCUAGAUCUCAGCUCACUGCAGCCUCCGCCUCCUGGGUUCAAGUGAUUCUCCUGCCUCAGCCUCUCGAGUAGCUGUGAAUACAGGCACCCAUUUUUUUGCUUGCUUGUUAUUUUUGGUAGAGACAAAGUUUCACCAUGUUGGCCAGGUUGGUCUCGAACUCCUGACCUCAGGUGAUCCACCUCCAUCAGCCUCCCAAAGUGCUGGUAUUACAGGCAUGAGCCUCCGUGCCUGGAGGCUGAAAUUGAGAUAAUUUUAAUUGAGAUGCCACACAAGUAAAAUACACUUCAUGUUACUGAUGUGCAGUUGGUUAUUGGUUUUUUGUUUUAGAGAUGGAGUCUCCCCCUGUUGCAGAGGCCUGGGAUGCAGUGAUGCCAUCACACUGUAGCCCUGACCUCCCCAGAUUCAGGUGAUCCUUCCACCUCAGUUUUUGUAUUUUUAGUAGAGAUGGAUUUUGCCGUGUUACCCAAGCUAAUCUGGAACUCCUGGGCUCAAGCAAUCAGCCCAUCUCAGCCUCCCAAAGUGCUAGGAUUACAGAUGUAAGCCACCACACGUGGCCUUAAUUUCAUUUUACCAAUGAUUUAGAAAAUCUAUUAAGAGACUGCAGCCAGCUGUAGACUCUUAAUCAGGUAAUCCCGGCUCUUUGGGAGGCCCAGGUGGGCAGAUCACCUGAGGUCAGGAGUUCAAGCCUGGCCAGCAUGGUCAAACCCCUCUCUACUAAAAAUACAAAAAUUAGCCAAGUAUGGUGGCACGUGCCUGUAGUACUAGCCACUCAGGAAGCUGAGGCAGGAGAAUCGCUUGAACCCAGGAGGCAGAAGUUACAGUGAGCACAGUUGCGCCACUGCACUCCAGUCUGGGCAACAGAGCAAGACUCCAUCUCAAAAAAUCAAAGAGACUACUUACACGAUCUAGAACAGAAUGUUUGAACAUAUUUUCCACCUUUGGGUGGGCUCAUAUCCAGUAAGAAUUAGAUUAAAUAUUAUAUAUAAGUUUUAAAGGUUGUACUAUCCAUCUGGGUAGAAUGCUUGGUUAGCCCAAGUUUAUUAUUGAGAGCCAAGAAGAUGAUCAAUGCAAAGGGUUUUGUCUUGUUAUAGUAGAUUAUUGUUUUGGUUACGAUGACUUCUUAAUGUUUUAAGUGGCCAUGAUCCUUACCUUUCUUUGGCAGGAUGCCGUAACAAAAUACUUUGUGGCUGAAAUGACAAGACGUUUAUUUUCUCUCAGUUCUGGAGACUGGGAAGUCUAAUACAAAAGUACCAGCAUGUUGGUUUCUGGUGAGGGCUCUCUUCCUGGGUUGUAGAUGGCUGCCUUCUCACUAUGUCUUCACAUGGCAGGAGAAGCGAGCAAGCAAGCUGUCUGGCCUCUCCUCUUAUGCAGGCACUAAUCCAAUCAUAGGGUUCCUUCCCUGACCUCAUCGAAACCUAGUUACCUCCCAAAGAUCUCAUUCCAAAUACCUUCACAUUGGGGGAUUAGGGCUCCAACGUGUGUAUUUUGAGAGGGGACACAAUUCAUAGUAUUAGUCAUAAAUGACAUAAAGGCUCUGGUCCAUACACCCAUCAGGGUUAUUGUGCCUUUCUUUCAAGAGAUCCACUAAAACCUACAGGUAGUGGAUUAUCAGGCCAAAUUCAUCAAUCCAUCCAUUUCCCAUGAAGUAGAGGACACUGGGAAAUACAAUAUUUUCUUUUUUUUUUUUUUUUUUUUUUUUUUUGAGAUGGAGUCUCACUCUGUCACCCAGGCUGGAAUGCAGUGGUGCAAUUUCAGCUCAUUGCAACCUCCGCCUCCCGGGUUCAAGCAGUUCUCUGCCUCAGCCUCCCAAAUAGCUGGGACUAUAGGCGCCCGCCACCACACCUGUCUAAUUUUUGGAAAUACGGUAUUUUCUAUGUUUAAUGUUUUAUGCCUUAAGAAGAAAGUCUUGCUGUUUUAGUUGGAUUUUCUUAUCCCCACUCCCACUCCCAAUUAACUGAAGACAUAAGGAAAGGAUCAGGUAAAUAGAAUUGAAUAGCAUCUUUAUCCAUGUUGGAGAUUUUAUGUAUAUGUAUUUAUUAUUAUUUUUUUAUUUUGAGACGGAGUUUUGCUCUGUCACCAGGCUGGAGUGCAGUGGUGUGAUCUCGGCUCACUGCAAACUCUGCCUCUUGGGUUCAAGCGAUUCUCCUGCCUCAGACUCCCAAGGAGCUGGGAUUACCAGAUGGGGGCCACCACACCCAGCUACUUCUUAUAAUUUUAGUAGAGAUAGGGUUUCACCAUGUUGGCCAGAAUGGUCUCAAUCUCUUGACCCUGGUGAUCUGCCAACCUCGGCCUCCCAAAGUGCUGGGAUUACAGGCAUGAGCUGCUGCACCAGACUGAUUUUAUGUAUAUUUAAAAUGCCAAUGCACAAAGAUAGUUUAUAUUUCCUCUCUAUUUCCUUUUAUUUUGGUUUGAUCCUUUUUUUGUUUGAAAUGUAGGCAAGGCCUACAGUAGUCCAGUGAGCAACCAAGCCACCUGGAUUCAUGCUUUUCCCGUUACAGAACUGCUAGCUUUUUGUUUGUUUUGAGACAGUCUUGCUCUGUUACCCAGGCUGUAGUGCAGUGAUCUCGGCUCAUUACAGCCUCUGCCUCCUGGGUUCAGCAAUUCUCCCACCUUAGCCUCCUAAGUAGCUCGGAUUACAGAUGUGUACCUCCUCUGCCCCACCCCCACUGAGUGCAGCUCUGGGCUCCUCUAAGGCAGCGCCACUGUUCAGCCACCAUCAUGAUUAUCUACUUGGACCUCAUCUGCCAUGAUAAGGUGUGUUCACAAGAUCCCAGAAAUCUGACUGGCUGUGCUUGGAAGUGGAGGGGAAGACGGUCAGUAGGAUGACACUGAUGACUGGCUCAUUGGUGGAAAUGCCUCUGCCAAAGGCUCUGAUGGUGAGGUAUGGAAAGCAUAGUAAAUGGCUGUGGUGUUGAUAUGGUCACAAACCCUCACUUGCAGGAAACCUUCACCAGAGAAGCCUACAAGAAAUACAUCAGAGGUUACGUGAAAUCAAUCAAAGGCAAACUUGAAGAACAGAGACCAGAAAGAGUAAAACCUUUUAUGAACAAAUCAGGCACAUCCUUAGUAAUUUCAGAAAAGGUUCUGGCCUGGUAGGGUGGCUCACACCUAUAAUCCCACCACUUUGGGAGGCUGAGGUGGGCAGAUCACUUGAGCUCAGGAGUUUGAGACCAGCCUUAGCAACAUAGUGAGACCCUGUCCCUGCCAAAAAUACAAAAAAAUUAACUGGCUCUGGUGGUACACACCCGUAAUCCCAGCUAUUCGGGAGGCUGAGGUGGGAGAAUUGCUGAACCCGAGAGGCAGAGGCUGCAAUGAGCCGAGAUCACUGCACCGCAGCCUGGGUAACAGAGGAAGACUCGUCUCAAAAAUGCUGCCAGUUCUGUAUUGGGGGAAGCAUGAGUCCAGGUGGUGAAGUUGCUCUACUGGACUACUGUGAGGAUGGGAUGACUCAAUAUGUGAUUUUCUUUGAAGAUGGUUUAGAAAUGGGAAAAUGUUAACAGAUUUGGCAGUUACUUUGGAUCUAUCACCUGUCAUCAUAACUGGCUGCCACUUGCUAUCCACACAACAACAGGACUUAAGAAAAAUGGGACUGAUGUCAUCUUGAGUUCUUCAUUUAUUUUGACCAUGCUUUAUUUGGAGUAGAGGCAUUGUUUUUUAGAAAAACAUGUAGCUUGUCUGAAUAUAAAAUACGUUUAAACUCAAAUCUAGCAAAAGUCAGGAGUGGGGAUCAUAAGAGCAUUAAUUUGGGGAGCACAAGGACAUGUGGUUAAGAUGCUUUUUGAGGCCGGGUGGGGUGGCUCAUGCCUAUAAUCCCAGAACUUUGGGAGUCCAAGGUGGGUAGAUCACAAGGUCAAGAAAGCGCCACCAUCCUGGCCAACAUGAUGAAACCCUGCCUCUACUAAAAAUACAAACAUUAGCUGCGUAUGGGAGAGGGGGCGCCUGUAGUCCCAGCUACUCAGGAGGCUGAGGCAGGAGAAUCGCUUGAACCCGGGUGGCAAAGGUUGCAGUGAGCUGAGAUCGCACCACUGUGCUCCAGCCUGGGAACAAAGCGAGACUCUGUCUAAAAAAAAAAAUGCUUUUCGAAAGCAGUUUGAAUUUUCUAUGCUGAUUAAAAAAAGAGAAGAACAUUUUCUUUUACCCUGUAUAGUAAAAUAUAAGCCUCAUACAUAAGUAAGAGCUACAAAAAGGUUUUUGGCCAACAUAAAUAUACAGAAACUAUUUAGUAUACUAAUAGGAUACAGUUUAGUUUACUAAUAAUACAGUGAUAUACAUGAAAUAGUCAUGUAUAGCUCUAAUAUUUCAUUCACAUACAUAAUUAAAAUCACAUUUAAAAUUUAAAUGACAUUAAUUUUGAAUAUUCCUUUUCCCACUCAUAUCGUUUAUGAAGCAAAUUUAUUCAAAUACUCAGAGCCACAUUUUAAGUCAGCUGAUUCAGUUUUCAGAGUGUAUCACCCUCCAUCUUUAUUAUUUGAAAGACUAUAAUAUUUAUAUUUAUGUAUGGUGCUGCCACUGGACAUUUUAUCCAAGGCCACAAGUAUUCAUAUAACCCUGACACAGUUCCUCCAUCCCUUCAUGGUAUAAUUGAAACUAGCUUACGUUUAUGGAUGCGUUUGCUAUGUGCCAAAUACUGUCAUAGGUGCCUUACGUGUGUUAACUCAUUUACUCAGAGAAAUCUGUGAGAUUGAUGCCUUAUCUCACUUUACUCACGGAACUAAGCUUCAGAAAGGUCAAAUAACUUACUCAAAGGCACACAGCUCGUGAAAGGCAGAGCCAAGAUUCAAACCUACCUGUGGAGCUCCAGAGUUUCUGCCUUUUUUUUUUUCUUUGAGACUCUGACAUCCAGGCUGGAGUACAGUGGUGCGAUCUUGGCCCACUGCAACCUCCACCUCCCGGGUUCUCAUGACUCAGACUCACGAGCAGCUGGAAUUGCAGGUCCCUACCACCAUGCCUGCCUAAUUUUUUUUGUGUGUGGAGUCUCACUCUGUCACCCAGGCUGGUGUGUGGUGGUGCAGUCUCGGCUCACUGCAACCUCUGCUUCCUGGGUUCAAGAGAUUCUCCAGUGUUCAAGAGAUUCUCCUGCCUCAGCCUCCCAAGUAGCUGGGAUUAUAGGCACCUGCCAUGACCCCCAGCUAAUUUUUUUGUGUUUUUAGUAGAGACAGGGCUUCACCAUGUUGCCCAGGCUUGUCAAACUCCUGACCUCAUGAUUCGCCUGCCUCAGCCUCCCGAAGUGCUGGGAUUACAGGCUUGAGCCACCGUGCCCGGGCUUUUUUUUUUUUUAAUUUUUUUAGUAGAGAUGGAGUUUCACCAUGUCGGCCAGGCUGGUCUCUAACUCCUGAUCUCAAGCUAUCUACCCACCUCAGCCUCCCAAAGUGCUGGGAUUACAGGCUUGAGCCACCGAGCCUGGCCAGCUCCCACUUUUAACCACCCUGUUACUCUGCUAUGAUAAAAUAGAGCACUUAAGAUGGUGAGAUUAUUCCCCUAGGAAUAAUUGUUAAACUUAACUUUAAAUUGAUUUCCCCCUCGAUGUUAAACCAGUUGUGUCUAAGCAUCUAAAAGUCCCAUUGGUUAAGUAUUAGACAGUUGUGUCUUCUCCAGAUAGUCAUUUUUCAUCCGAAACAACAUAACUGAAGGAGGUACAUAAUAUAAUUUGUACAGACUCAGCGGUAUAACAGCUUCCUCUUUUAUAAGGUGUUAGAGAAAAUAUAACCUUAUAUUUGACAUGCAUGCUAUGUAAGCCAAAUCAGCUGGUGACGAUUUGAUGGUAUAGUUGUCCUAGUUCUGAAACAGCCACCGGUCACUCGGCACGGGACUUGGCCGUUUCCAUAUUACCUAGUUUUAUUCUCUCUGAAACUCUGGAAGUGAAGUAGCAUUGCUCUACUUUUGUAGAUGAGUCAGUUGAGGCUCAGACAAUAUAAGAAACUUGUCCAGGACAGUAUAGAGUCUAGGGCAGUAGAGUUGACAUUCAACCUUUGUGCAGCCACCGCUAAAGCUUCUGCUCUGUGGAUGCCACCACGUGGCCUCACUGGGCAUACAGCACUGGGUUCAGAAGCCCCAGACUUAACAGCACGUGGCCACCGCGUCACCCUGUCAGCUGGCUCCCACAGUUCUUCCAGCUUCCUUUCAUUUCUCUGCUUUCUUGCUGAGUCUGGCAGGACUUCUGGCUGCAAACAACAGAAAUUCCUGUAGCUAGUUUAAGCAGAAAGGGAUGUAUUAAAAGUUGUUGGUUAGGUGGUUCACAGAAGUUCUGGGAAGAACCGAGAAUCAGGCUUGGAUGUGAUGGAGCCAGGAAAAGAGCCAAACCACACCGUGGGUCUGUUCUAGCAGAGAAAUCACGCUGCCUCUGCUGGCUGCUGCAUCCCCAAGAGCUGAAGGAAUGAAUGCCAGGACUGCACUUCUCUUCUGCCAUGCUCCUCAGAAGGCCUGGAUCAUGAUGGGUGACCCUUGCUGCCUCUGUCACUCACGCUGUGUCCAGGUUGCGCAGGGAUGCUUCUUUUUUGGGAGACAGAGUCUCGCUCUGUAACCUAGGUUGGAGUGCAGUGGUGUGAUCUCAGCUCACUGCAACCUCUGCCUCCCGGAUCCCAGUUGAAGCAGUUCUCCUGUCUCAGCCUCCGUAUUACCUGGGAUUACAGGCGUGUGCCACCAUGCCCAGCUAAUUUUUGUAUUUUUUGUAGAGAUGGGGUUUCACCAUGUUGGCCAGUCUCGUCUUGAACUCCUGACUUCAUGAUCCUCCAGCCUCAGUCUCCCAAAGCACUGGGACUACAGGCAUGAACCACUGCACUCAGUCACUCUGGGAUGCUUCUGAUUGGUAGAAAUAAGCUCACAUGCCUACAUUCUGGCUGCAAUGGAAUAUGGUGGUUUCACAUUUUCUGCUAAAUGAGGAUUGAGUGAAUCAAUCUACAGUGUCUACCGCUUAAUCCACCCCCGUCCCAGCCCCAGCCCCAACCCCAACCUCGGCUCUUCCACACAAAGACCAGUGUCUUAGUCCAUUUGGACUACUAUAACAAAUACCAUAAAUGAGAUGGCUUGUAAAUAACAGAAAUUUAUUUUCCACAGUCUGCUGGCUGGGAAGUCCAAGAUCCCAGCAUUAGCUGAUACAGUGUCUGGUGAGGGUCUGCUUUCUGGUUCAUAGAUGGUGCCUUCUUGCUGGGUCUUUCUAUGGUGGAAGAGGCCAGGUAGCUCUCUAGGGUCUGUUUCAUAAGGACACUAAUUCCAUUCAUGAGCCCUCUUCCUUCAUGACCAUAUCACUUCCCAAAGGCUCCACCUCCUAAAUCAUACCUUGGAGGCUGAGGUGGGCCUCCCAAAAUUUGUAUGCUAAAAUCCUAACCCCUAAGGGGGCUCCUCCAAUUUUGGAGGAACACAGAGAUUCAGACCAUAAUAGACAGGUGGGUACACCAUUUGUGCCUUUAUUCUCUGGUGCUUUGGCGAAUACAGACUGAAUUGAAGAUUGACCUUUCUGUGCUCAUCUAAGUGUAACCAAACCCCACAAUUCACACACUAGAGAAGGUUCGCCUUGUUCUGUUUCUCCUCCUCUGGCCGUGGGGCUAACAGUGGGGCUAACGUGAGGGUCCAGUGUGAAAAAACUGCUCAACCACUCAAAGGAAACCCACUCCAUGGAGGUGUCUCUCUAGCAUGGUGCUACUUUCUGAAGUUACGUUGCUUGUUUUUUGUUUUUUUAGUGGAGGAAGUCUUUCUUCUGAAGUCUGGUAUCCUAUUUGGAGUUCAUAGGGUGAGGAACAUAACCUUCUAUUCCCAUGUUUCUCUGAAGUUUGGGCUUUCAUUUGCUGGGUCCCACAUGCUGAGUGCAAGGAUAACAAACGUACACAGUGAACAAAAGUGUAGCAUUUUUUUUUAAUAUGAAAAACAUGACAUCCUUCUUUGAGGGUAAAGGUUUUCAGUUGCUUUUGAGAAAAGCGUCAGAAGUAAGCUCAAGAUCUGAAAAUAAAGGAGACUUGAAGAAAAUAUGUUGAUGAGAAGAAUAGUAUCAGGCUGGAUGUGGUGGCUCAUGUCUGUAAUCCCAGUGCUUUGGAAGGCUGAGGCAGGUGGAUUCCUAUGAGGUCUGAAGUUCAAGACCAGCCUAGCCAACAUGGCAAAACCCUGGGCGUGACAGUGCAUGUCUGUAGUCCCAGCCACUCAGGAGGCUGAGGCACAAUUGCUUGAACCUGGGAGGUAGAGGUUGCAAUGAGCUGAGAUCACGCCACUGCACGCUAGCCUGGAAGACAGGACAAAACUUCCUCUCCAAAAAAAAAAAAAAAACGAAAGGAAAGAAACACAAAACUAAGAUUUAGCCCACAUCCUAUAUUACUCACUGACGGCAUCAGGCAAAUCUAAUUCAUAUCUCUGCUUAGUUAUCUAGUUGGUACAAUUGGAAAAAAAAAAUACAAAGGCUAAGACCCUAAGAGUUACUGUAAGAAAUGUGCAGACUCUGGAUGCAGUGUCUGGUUCAUACUACUAUAAUGUUAAUUUCUGGGCAUUUUAGAAACUGUGAUCCUGCUGGGUGGGGCCAUUCCCUAUGGCUUGUGCUGCCAGUGUGGGUUUCUGUCUUCUUAGCACAUGGGUGGUUUACAUCCUCAGGUGAAUAAGCAGGUCAGAGUUGAAGGGGGAAAAAACAAAUCUGCUUGUUUAACACCAUUGUUUACUAUGGCAGGGUUUAGAGCUUACGCAAUAUUAGAAAUACAGUCAUGAAGGAUUUUAGUUUGCAUUUUCUGGUUAUCUUGAAGUCUUGGUUUUGCCAGAGGCUUGGAAUAUAUGUAUUAAUUUUCCUUCAAGGUUCAUUUAGCAGCAGCAAGGGAAGGAACGUUUGCAUUUUAAUUGGGUCCUUCUCCAACCUCUCCCCUACCCCCAGCACACACUCUCUACUGCUAAGAGCUAGAGCCAGAUGUCACUCCCUGCCUCUGGGUGACAGGAAUGUCAAUGUCUGUAACUCUUCAGUGGCUACCAACGCAACCACAGUGUGCCCCCAUGAACUUCUCCAGUACCAUGUGAUCCCAGCAUUAAACAGCGAAUGAAAUUCUCCACUCGAGUGGCACAUGCUGACAUGGCUCCAAACAUAAAAACUUGGAGGUUUUUUCAAAAUUAAAAUGACUAGGUUAAGAAACUGCAUUGUCAUUCCAGUAAGUCAGAACUCAAGAUUCUGAUCCUGGCCAGGCGCGGUGGCUCACGCCUGUAAUCCCAGCACUUUGGGAGACUGAUGCAGGUGGAUUAUGAGGUCAGGAGUUCAAGACCAGCCUGGCCAAGAUGGUUAAACCCCUGUCUCUACUAAAAAUACAAAAUUUAGCCAGGCGUGGUGGCGGGCGCCUUAAUCCCAGCCACUUGUGGGGCUGAGGCAGGGAAUUUAUUGAACCUGGGAGGCAGAGUUUCCAUUGAGCCAAGAUCGCACCACUGCACUCCAGCCUGGGUGACAAAACGAGACUCCAUCUCAAAAAAAAAAAAAAAAAAAAAAUUCUGACUUUAACAGGGAUCUCAUUUUGAAAAGGAAAACUUUACGAGUAGAUGAAAUAAGUCUCAGAGUACAACUUUGAAACUUUCAGAGGACAAAUGUCAAUGUGAGAAAGGAUGCCCCAAUGAAAUCUGGUGCCAGUGCUAAUGUCAUGUUCUUAGAUGACGAACUGGAGAAAAUGAAUCAAUGACAAAGGUGGUUUUUGUUCCAGGGGGUGGUCUUUGAAAUUGAGUGUAUGCUGUCUACAGGACCACUUCUUAACACAGAAUUGACACAGAAAGCUGGUGAAGCAGACCUAAAUUCAGGCUUAGCAGCCUCAGUAAUUCUGACAUGUGCUCAUACAGGAAUGGCGGUAGCAUGAAAUAUUUACAGUGAGCCUGGCGGGGAUUAGUGUAUACAGAGGUUAAGUUCAGCAAAAUGUAGGGGGUGGGGAAAGCUGUAAGUGGUGAAAAGGUUCCUAGUUGCCCCUGUGAGAGAAGCAAAGUUUUAGAGUUGAAUUCCUCUUUCUUUUAGAAGUUGUAGGGGGUCUUCAUUGUAUACCUUUACUUGUUUUUCUUUUUUUUUUUUUUUUUUUUUUUUUGAGACAGAGUUUCACUCUUGUUGCCCAGACUAGAGUGCAAUAACACGAUCUUGGCUCACCACAACCUCCUCCUCCUGGGCUCAAGCAAUUCUCCUGCCUCAGCCUCCCCAGUAGCUGGGAUUAGAGGCAUGCACCACCACACCCAGCUAAUUUUGUAGUUUUAGUAGAGAUGAGGUAUCUCCAUGUUGGUGAGGCUGGUCUUGAACUUCCGACCUCAGGUGAUCCACCCACCUUGGCUUCCCAAAGUGCUGAGAUUACAGGCAUGAGCCACUGUGCCCAGCUGGAUACCAUUACUUUCUAAACAACAGAGAGUAUAUUGGGUGUUUCCAGAACUGUGCAGUGCUGCAAAUGAAUACUGGGACCAGAUGGCACCUACCCUCCUAAUGCCUGCAUUCCAAUUAGAGAAACAUCCCUCACUUGAAGCCCCCACGUUAUUAGAUUGCUGCUGUCACAUCCAGGCAAAAAAAAAUGAUAAGCCUAUGGCAUCUCCACUUGGCCCUUCCUAUCAGACUCAGCCUUGUGGCCCCCAGAUUCUGCUGACUCCCCAGUUAACCAGUUACGGACCUUCUGUGCUGUGGGGUGUUCCAUAGAGACAGCAAACCCUGCAGCCAGGGUUUCCCAGUAUUCCUUGCUGCUUGUCCUCUGAGCUCUUGACCAAAAGAACCAUCUUUGUCUUACAUGCAGACAUUUCAGCCUAGAAGCAGGCAGACUCUCCAGGAAAGCCCUGCUCUGUCCCCAGGAGAAGGACAUUUCUGGGUUUGGCAGAAAACAUCCUGAAGGCUGGCAAGCAUACCAUUUGCUCUAGAUACAGGCCAGAAAGUUUUAAAGACCCAGGGCCCAGGAUGUGAGAGAAGGGAAUUUUGAUUUGUGUGUGUGUGUUAAUUUUUUUUCAAGCGCUUACCCUGUGUAGAGACAAAUACUAUUUUCUGGUCUGUUUUUGAAAAACAGAUGAAAGGAUCAGUAGUAUACAGACAGGUUAAUAUGCACUUGGCCUUUCUAUCUGAACCCAGUCCUGAUUUCAUUCUGUCCAUGGGGAAAACUUCCUUUUUACAGUGCAUCUUCAGAGCGGGCUUUGUUCAGAAAUCCUUUAUUCAGAGCCUUUUGUUUUUAAGAGAUUUAUUGGAGAUUGGUUUGGCAGGGGCUGUGAGUGUCAGAUUGUACAUGUGCUGGGGGCACGGUGGGAGAGAGCAUUGGGUAGGGGCGCCAUAUGUGUUCCUGAUGGUCGUGGGUGCUCAUAGAGUUUAAAGACCGAAUCUGUGGAAGGCAAACAAUUGUUUUUGUUUUGAUUUUAAUGCUGGAAUUUAUUUUUCCAUCUCGUUUUUUCUCCUGGACAUUUUCUAGCUGGGUGUGUUUACAAUAUAAAAAGGCUUCAUCAUUGUGGGAAGUAGAAAAGUUUUUAAAGUUUCCUUUCUUAUUUAAAAUAAGCAUGUAAUAACUUCGUUAAGCCCUAUCCUAUGUAGCUGUUAGACAUGCCAUGCUUACAGCACUCCUUGUACUUUAACCAAGAUACCUGUGCUGAAUGGGCUCACUGGCAUGUCCCAGCUCUCCAUUGCUUUUAGCUACUUAGAAAAGUUUUCAGUUGUUAGUUGAUUGGGUUUUAGUUUACAUCGUGAGGUCUGGCUCCAGCCAAUGGAAAUCAGACACAACAGUAAGGACAACCCCAGAUGUGUAAGGAAUAAAUUUGUGUGUUUUCCUUUGUUCGUUGUACUCUUGUGGCGAGAUGGCUAGCCAGAGUACCCUUCCUGCAGUCCAGGAAGUAAAAAUUGCGUUGCCGAAAAAUCCUUUGUCUCAGUGCUGAUUUUUCUUUGUGGCACGUCUAUUUCCAACAGUCAUUGGUCCAUCCUGAAGUAAGGCAUUGGUGUCUGUGUUGGUGGCUUCGGUUACCCUGCCUGGAGCGGGCUCGUCUCCCUGGGUGUCAUUCAGAAACAGAUGGCUGUAUCCAGGGGUUGGCUUCUCUACUUCAGUUGCGUUUGUGUAGAGCAGGUUCAACCCCUCCUGGGGAGGGUGCCUUUGCAUGCCCACAGUCAGUUGUAGAGGCCUGGUUCUACUCCCACUGGGUCCCUGAUUGCCCUUGAGUAAGGGUUGAAUGACAGUGCCCGUCCAUCUUUUUCUUGCUUCAUACUUGGGGUGCUGGCUGUCCCAGCCCAGCAAGUGAGGCCAGCUGAGCUGGGCGUGGUGUUCUUGUGCCUGCUGGUACCUUCUGAUGUCCCAAUUCAGGUACAUCUAUUUUUAGAUUGGGCUUGCCCUGGCUUGAGUAGCACUUGAGCAAGACUGUGACCUUGCAGGUGUUCAGCUGUUUUCUUCACAGAUCCCGGGUGUUCCCUGAUUCUAACUCUUUGGAGGCCUUGUGCUCUGCACAAAGCCAGUGCAGCAGCCACUUGCCUAGCUGUUCCUGGGCAAAGACAUUUCAUCUAGCUAGAGAUAAAAUUAGUGUCCAGAUGCCUGGGGAAGGGAGGGGCUUACAGACUUGAUGGGACAGUUCACUUGAGUGAGUGUGAGCCUCCUACCAGCAUCCGUCUCUAUUAGCGAGAGCCCUGUGCUAACUGUCAUCAUGACAGGUCAGGUUUGUGUGAAACUAUUUAUAAACUCCAUAAAACCAUGUGCAAAUGUGCGAAACUUAGGCUGGCAGGAGUGGAAGGAGGUCGAUGAGGGACAGGUACUAUCUCUUGAACAAGGGCGGGGACGCAGUAUCUUGCCACACAAGAUGAAGGGAACCAGAUAGAGCUGGCAAGGGAGACAGGGUCAGCCAGUUGAAGGGGUCAGUGGCCACGGUCAGAAGUUUGCAGGAGAUCCAGAAAACCCUUGGGAGCCACAAGAUUAGGACGAUUAUUGCAUCUGACACUUGCCAGGUAGAGAAUAUUGUAAACUUGUAGCCAAGGAGAGUUAAGAAGGAAAUAAAAAGUGAGAUCUGGAUGGGUGCAGUGGCUCAUGCUUAUAACCCCAGCACUUUGGGAGGCCAAGGUGAGAGGAUUACUUGAGACCAGCCUGGGCAACAUGGAAAAACCCUAUCUCUACAAAAGAUACAAAAAUCAGCCUGCAUGGGUGCCUGCAGUUCCAGCUAUAGGGGAGGCUGAGGCAGGAGCAUCACUUGAGCCUAGGAGGUUGAGGCUGCAGUGAGACAUGUUCACACCACUGCACUCCAGCCUGGGUGACAGAGCAAGACUCUUUCUCAAAAAUAAACAUAAAAUAGCCCUUUCCAUUGAAGGAUGUGUAGAAAUAAAAAAAAUUCCGGAAGGAUUUCCCAAGAGCUCAGAGUAGAGGUGCCCAUGAGACUUGUAUUAGUCUGUUCCCGCACUGCUCUAAAAACAUACCUGAAGCUAGGUAAUUUAUAAAGAAAAGAGGUUUAAUUGGCUCACAGCUCUGCAGGCUCUACAGGCUUCUGCUGCUGCUUUUUUUUUUUUUUUUCGAGGUGGAAUCUUCCUCUGUCUUGUCCAGGCUGGAGUGCAGUGCCGAUUUCAGCCCACUGAAAUCUCUACCUCCCAGGUUCAAGUAAUUCUCCUAUCUCAGCCUCCUGAGUAGCUGGUACUGCAGGUCUGUGCCACCACACCCAGCUAAUUUUGUAUUUUUAGUAGAGAUGGGGGUUUCACCGUGUUGGCCAGGCUGGUCUCGAACUCCUGACUUAAGGUGAGGCACUGUGGCCAGCCAGUCUUCUGGUUCUGGGGAGGCCUCAGGAAACAGUCAUGGCAGAAGGUGAAGGAGAAGCAGGCACAUUUUAAAUGGCUGGAACAGGAGGCAGAGAGCAAAGCGGGAGGUGCCUCACACUUUUUUUUUUCUUUGAGAUGGAAUUUUGCUCUUGUUGUCCAGGCUGGAGUACAGUGGUGCGAUCUUGCCUCACAACCUCCACCUCCCGGGUUCAAGCGAUUCUCUGGCCUCAGGUGAUCCACCUGCCUUGGCCUCCCAAAAUGCUGGGAUUACAGGCAUGAGCCACUGUGCCCAGCCACCUCACACUUUUAACCAAUUAGAUUUCAUGAGAACUCACUAUCACGAGAACAGCAAGGGGGAGAUCUACCCCCAUGAUGCUAUCACCUCCCCCCAGGCCUCUCCGCCAACACUGGAAUUAAAGGUUACAUGAGAUUUGGGUGGGGACAGACAUCCAAACUAUAUCAAGACUGAAAAGAAGUCUGUAGGGAAAGGAAAGGCAUUGAGCUGGGUGAAAGGUCACAGUCAUGUUGCAUUGGAAAUGUCAAUUCCUUACAUAUGACACAGAACCAGCGAGGGUGAACAGAGUUCCUGGAAUUGAAAAGUUAUGAUAGGGAAGGAACCAGCUGGAAAUCAUUCAUGGGCAUCAUUUUGGGCAUUUCAGAAUUCUCCCUUGAGGUUUACUGUAGUCAGCAAAUGGAAAGGGCAGAAAAAGAGAGGCCUGGGGUUCUGGCUGUCUCAGGGAUGACCUUUCUUUUUAAACAGUGUGGCUAAUCAUGCCGGUGGAAGCUUCUCUCUUGAUUUUUAGGGUAGCCUUGAUCAUUACAAUUAUUUUAUCUUCCAUUAGACUUGGCUCAUUCCUAGCCAGGAAAUAAUUUGGAAAAUAAAAAAGAUCAAGCUUGUAGUGCUCCUGAGAAGGACAGUACAGUUCCCUUCUGAGUGGAAGCCCUAGGUCUUGUUGAUGGCACAGGAACUCAACCAGAAGAUGACCAGGAGGCUUUUCUGUGCUACUCCAAGAUGUUUUCCGGGAGAAUCCUGGGUGGUGUGUGUGGUUCCCAGCUUCCUCCUCUUGUCAAGUAACCAGUGGCCUGAUUGGAGCUGGCAGCCCCCUUGGGAACCGCUGAGUGCUGACUUCUGAGUCUUUUAACACGGCUGUGCACUGAGCACUCUGUUUUCAUUUCCCACUUUCCCCUUUGUCACUUUCAAUUAAACCAGGACAAGCUAUGUAAAAUUUGGUUAGUUAUGUAAAUAAGCCCAAACAGCAGAAGGAUUGAAAUGUGAAGAAACAGUGGUGGAGGAGUGAGUAGGUUUUAGUGGAGAGUCACUGUAACCACAGCCUGACAGAUGCCCACUGUGUGGCCGGCACUGAGAUGAUCUAAAGCACUGUCUCUAGAUUUUAGUGAAACCUCUGCAGCUACGUUACAUUUUCAUGUGAGGAAACUGAGGCAUAAAGACUUUGUUAUUAUUCAUAUGGCUAGUGAGCAGGAAUGCUAAGUUUAGUCCCAUAGUUUAACUGAACUCACUGUCUUGUCUUUUUUUUUUUUUUUUUUGAGAGAGAGAGUCUCACUCUGCCGCCCAGGCUGUAGUGCGGUGGCAUGAUCUCAGUUCGCUGCAACCUCCGCCUCUUGGGUUCAAGUGAUUCUUCUGCCUCAACCUCCUGAGUAGCUGGGAUUACAGGUGCCUGCCACCACACCCAGCUAAUUGUUGUAUUUUUAGUAGACACAGGGUCUCAUCAUGUUGGCCAGGCUGGUCUUGAACUCCUGACCUCAGGUGAUCUGCCCACCUCAGCCUCCCAAAGUGCUGGGAUUACAGGCAUGAGCCACUAUGCCCGACCAUCUCUCUUUUAAGACUUAAUUUUUUUUUUAGAGCAGUUUUAGGUUCACAGCAAAAUCGAGGGGGGAAAAAAAGGCCAGGCAUGGUGGCUCACACCUGUAGUCCCAGCUAUAGGGGAGACUGAGACAGGAAGAUCACUUGAGGCCAGGAGUUUGAGACCAACCUGGGAAACAUAGUAAAACCCACCUCUAAAAAAAAAAAAUUUUUUUUUUAAUGAUCCAGGCAUGGUGGUGUGUGCAUGUAGUCUAGGCUGCCUGGGAGCGUGAGACAGGAGGACUGCUUGAGCCCAAGUCUUUGAAGCUACAGUGAGCUAUGAUUGUGCCACAGCACUCUGGCCUGGGUGACAGAGCAAGACCCAACCUCCUUAAAAAAAAAAAAAAGGUUUUUUUCUGGCUAGGGGCUGUGGGUCACACCUGUAAUCCCAGCACUUUCGGAGGCUAAUGUGGGUGGCUCGCUUGAGCUCAGAAGUUUGUGACCAGCCUGGGCAACAUGGCAAAACCACGUCUCUACCAGAAAUAUAAAAGUUAGCCAGGCAUAGUGGCAUGCACCUAUCAUCCCAGCUACCUGGGAGGUUGAGGUGGGAGAAUUGCUGGAGCCUGGGAAGUUGAGGCUACAGCGAGCUAUGAUUGCGCCACUGCACUCCAGCCUGGGUGAUAGAGACCUAACAAUAAAAAUAAACGAAAAUUUUUUUCUGAGAAAAAGGUAGAGAUUUCCUAUACAUCUUCUUUCCCUGAAAUGUACAGCCUCCUCAUUAUCGACACCCCCCACCGGGGUGGCGCAUUUGUUAGAAUUAAUGAACCUCCAUUGACAUUUUAUAAUCACCCAACAUCCACAGUGCACAUUAGGGUUCACUCUUGGCGUUGUACAUUCCAUGGCUUUGGACAAAGGUAUAAUGACAUGAUAAUGGUGGCGUUAUCAUACAGAGUAGUUUCACUGCCCUAAAAAUCCUCUGUGCCCAUUUUUCCCUUUCUCCCUCCAGCACUUGGCACCAUCUUGGCUCACUGCGACCUCUGCCUCCUGGGUUCAAGCGAUUCUCCUGCCUCAGCCUCACAAAUAGCUGGGACCUCAGGCACAUGUCUAAUUUUUUGUAUUUUUAGUAGAGAUGGGGUUUCCCCAUGUUAGCCAGCAUGGUCUCAAUCUCCUGACCUCGUCAUCUGUCUGCCUUGGCCUCCCAAAGGGCUGGGAUUACAGAUGUGAGCCAUUGCACCUGGACCCCAAUCUUUUUACUGUCUCCAUAAUUUGGCCUUUUCUAGAAUGCCAUGUAGUUAGAACCUUACCACAGAUAGCCCCUUCAGAUUGGCUGCUUUCACUUAGUAACAUGCCUUUCUGUUUCCUUCAUGGCUUCAUUACUUGGUAGCUCAUUGCUUUUUAGUGCCGUGUAAUAACUCCAUUGUAUUCAUGUGCCACAGUUUAUCUAAUCACCUGCUCAAGGACAUCUUGGUCAUUUCCAGGUUUUGGCAAUUAUGAAUGAAGCUGCUGUAAACAUCCAUGUGCUCACUCUCUUUUCACAGAACAUUCUGUUCCACUUAAGAGGUUUCAUGGAGGACUCACUUAGGUCCUCUGUGACAAAUGGGACAUGGUGAAAGUCUGGUGCCAGAGAGGAAAGAACAUACAGGAUUUGUUAUCAGACAGACCUGAUUUGCUUGGAAAUUUGAAUCCCAACUCUCUUCUAUCUAUGAUUUAAAAUUCUCAGUAUUCCCUGCCAUUAACGUACCGUGCUCUCUGAAGCAUUUAGCCUUCCGUGGGCACCCUGAAAUCCAUGUGUGAACUAUGCUCUAAUGGUUGUACAGCUAAAGAAAAUCGUGAACCUCUUGAGGCUGGGUGCAGUGGCUCAAGCCUGUAAUCCCAGAACUUUGGGAGGCCAAGGCAGGCAGAUCACUUGAGCUUAGGAGUUUGAGACCAGCCUGAGCAACAUAGUGAAAGCCUGUCUCUUCCAAAAAUAUUUAUAAAAAAAAAAAAUUAGCUGGGUGUGCUGACCUGCCCCUAUGGUCCUAGGUACUCAGGAGACGGAGGCAGGAGGAUCACUUGAGCUCAGGAGGUGGAAGUUGCAGUGAACCGAGAUUGUUUCACUGCACUCCAGCCUGAUGGACAGAGUGAGACCCCAUCUCAAAAAAAAAAAUGUUCUUUGACGCUCUUGAGCCCAAUGUAUUUUAUUACAGUCUAAUAUUCUUGCUACUUACUUAGAUUAUGAAGGCUUUUUGCAAACUUUUUUCAUAGGUCGUAAAAAAUUUAAGCUUUAGUUGGUCAAUGGUGGGAGGUUUAUACUUUCUUAAAUACAAACCAGAGAGUCUUUGCCCUAGUGCCUGCCCUCCUCGGAGGUCCUGGAAGUUCCACACUUUAGCUGCUGUUCUUAUUGCCAGAAUUUGCAUUGUUAGAGGCCAGUCAGGCACAUUCUUGUAUCUUUUGUUUUCCAGCUAUUUUAGAUAAAGUUUAAGACCUGGAAGUCACCAUUGCCCAAUUCCCAUGGGAAAUCUCCUUCAGUUACUUAGAGAAAAUUCUUGUGGGAAAAAAAGGGGGAAAACAAGUAACUGAUUGUUUACAGGCUCAUGGAAAGAAAUUUCCAUAUAUGACCCAGCUUCCUUGCCGGUGUUUCGGAAAGCUGUGGUUUUGUGAGUCAAGUUCCUACUACCCCAGAACAGACGUGAUUCCAAGAGAGGAUUCUUCAUGGUAAAGAUGAGAAAUGGAAGUACCGCUCUGAGCCCAGACACGUCAUUGGGUGCAGUGUGGUUUUUGAUAGAUUUCUUCCUCCAAGGGCUUUGCUCUACCCUUUCCCACUCGAAUAAGAAAGACUAGUCAUUUUUUAAAUCCUAAUGGAGACUUAGUAAACGUAAGCGCCUGGUUUUUGUUUUUGCUUUGCUUUUAAGAAGAAUUAUUUUGCGAUCUGGAAAUUAUGCCCUGAUUGCAGUAAAUUUUUAAAACUCUGAGAUCACUGGGAACUAAACGUUGCUACUGUUGCUCUGCUUACAGAAGAGCAGAGAAAGACGGGGAGGGGAGGGAUUGACUAGGCAAGGAAACUACUCUGAAAAACACAACUUUCCAGUUCACAGAAGCUUCACUAGCCUUUUUUUUUUUUUUUGAGAGGGAGUCUUGCUCUGUCUACCAGGCUGGAGGGCAGUGGCGGGAUCUGGUCUCACUGCAACCUCCAACUCCCAGGCUCAAGCAACUUUCCUGCCUCAGCCUCUUGAGUAGCUGAGACCACAGGCAUGCACCUCUAAGCCCAGCUGAUUUUUGUAUUUUUAGUAGAGAUAGGGUUUCACCAUGUUGACCAGGUUGGUCUUGAACUCCGGACUUCUAGUGAUCCACCCACUUUGGCUUCCCAAAGUGCUGGGAUUGCAGACCUGAGCUGCCAUACCCAGCUUUUCACUAGCUCUUCUAAAAUGUGCUUGCAGGCUGGGUGUGGUGGCUCACACCUGUAACCCCAGUGCUUUGGGAAGCCAAGGCAGGUGGAUCACCUGAGAUCAGGAGUUCGAGGCCAACAUGGUGAAACCCCAUCUCUACUAAAAAUACAAAAAAUUAGCUGGACAUGGUGGCAGGCACCUGUAAUCCUAACUACUCAGGAGCCUGAGGCAGGAGAAUUGCUUGAACCCAGGAAGCAGAGGUUACAGUUGCCCAAGAUCGCACCAUUGCACUCCAGCCUGGGGACAAGAAUGAAACUCCAUCUAAAACAACAACAACAACAACAAAACAAUAAAAUGUGCUUGCAGAUGAGUCACAGUGGGGUGGAGUAUUUGUUGAAUGUACACUCUGUACAGGUGCCUAGAGAAGCACAGUAUCAGUGACUGCCCUUGACCACAGUAGCACGUUGGCGAGAGUCAAGCUUCAAGGUUAUUCCCGUUGGCUGAAAAAACACCAGAGCCCUGACUCCUACCUCUGACACACCUGGUAUGCACCUCCACACUUGGUGGCAUUAAGAUGUACCACACUCCAGGGGAGUCAUUAGGGAGGAAACAUCCGCAUCGUCUUGAGUUUCUAAAAACCAAGUGAAUGGCAGUGCUUUCACCAUUCUACAGUAUCAGUGCAGUGAAGAUAAAAUACAAAGAGUUGGAGCUUCCAAACUCUCCCCACAGUCAGAGUGGAAUUGCGAUGGGUUUUUGGUCCACUGCUUUAGUUCAUAUGCUCCAAGUAGCAUGGGCAGCAGUCUGAGCCCAGGCUGCAGUCCUUUCCCAAAGGCCUGUUCCACUUGGCUUGUUUUCCCCACUGUGCGGUGCCAAUUAGGUGGGCUGAGCUAGAUUGCAAUUGUCUCCAGGUACAGCUGCUGUGAGGAGUGGCCCACUUUCCUUUUGUCCGUAAUGGGGAGAAGCUUGGAACUUGAGCAAAUGUCAAGAGCAAGAAACCAGCUUUGAGGCUUUCCCGAAGACCCACUUUCUGUUAAAAAAAAAAAAAAAAAAAAAUUGCUCCUGAUUCUCCCAGCCCAUGGUGAUAGGUCCCUGUGGGAACCUCGGUGUCCUCACUGCCUUAAUCCAUCGAUUCACAUCUGGCGUGUGUUGCCUUGUAGUGGUGGGAAUCUUUUCAUCUGGAUACUCCUCAUCUUCACAGCGAGUUUAUAUAGCGCAUGUGCUUAGAGGAGACCCUUGUUAAUUAUUUGUCUGAUUCUGGUCUUGAGAGGUAGCCGUUCUCAUGGAUACCAGCAGGAUCAUACCCGGAAGCUUUAGAGAAAUAUCUUUAGGGAUGCUAAGAAAUGUUGAUUUCUUAGAGUUCCCAGAGCCUUGAGAGGCAUUCGACAGAAUUCUCAAGCUGAAAUUGGCUGGUGAUAAUUGGCUCAGAAAAUUCCUUCUUCCCUCUCUGCCUAGCAGAGUAUGUGUUGUCACCAACUCUUGGAGCCUGUCCCUCGGGGUCUUCAUGUCUGUGGCAGGAUUCCUGGAAAUGAGUUCAAGUCCUGGUGGAACUGGAUUGAGUUUCCAAAACGAAAAUUGUCUCCAUUUCUGUGAAGAAAGAAACAACUUCUAACUCAGAGGAUUGAUUGGGCUGACAAGCCAGGCUGGAAAAUGGGGACUGAGCAGUUAUCUAUGGCCCUUGAUGACUGGCGGGAGGGUCUAAGGGACCAAGGAGGCACAAAUGCCUUUAAGUGAGGGCGUGGAAAGUCAUCCUAAGCAAAAAGAACAAAGCCAGGAGCGUCCCAUUACCCAACUUCCAACUACGCAUAAGUCUAUAAUAAUUAAAACAGCAUGGUACUGGUACAAAAACAGACACACAAACCAGCGGAACAGAAUAGAGAAUCCAGAAAUAAAGCCAUACACCUCUAGCCAUCUGAUCUUCCGCAAAGUUAACACAAAUAAACAACAAGGAAAGAACUGUCUGUUUAAUAAACGGUGCUGGGAUAGCUGGCUAGCCAUAUGCAGAAGCAUGAAACUGGACCCCUACCUUUUACUUCAAAAAUUAACUCAUCAUGAACUAAAGAUUUAAAUGUAAGACCUCAAAGAGUAAGAAUCUUAGAAGAAAACCUAGGAAACACCAUUCUGGACAUCGGCCUUGGAAAAUAAUUUGUGGCUAAGUCCUGAAAAGCAGAACAAAAACAAAAAUUGACAAGUGAGACCUAAUUAAAGAGCUGCUACACAGCAAAAGAAAUUAUCCGCAGAGUAAACAGACAACCUACGGAAUGGGAGAAAAUAUUCACAAACUCUGUUUCCAGCAAAGGUCUAAUGUCUAGAAUCUAUAAGGAACUUAAACUAUUCAACAAGCAAAAAACAGAUAAACCCAGUUCCAAAGUGGGCCAAAGACAGGAAAAGACAUUUCUAAGUGGCCAGCAAACAUGAAAACAUGCUCAACUUUGCUUAUCAUCAGAGAAAUGCAUAUUAAAACCACAAUGAGAUACCAUCUCACAUCAAAGAGUAGCUCAUGCCUAUAAUUCCAGCAUUUUUGGAGGCUGAGGUAGGAGGAUCAUUUGAAGCCAAGAGUUUAAGGCCGGCCUAAGAAACAUCCGGGCAUGGUGGCAUGUUUCUAUAAUCCAGUUAACUUAGUGGCAGGGGAUCCUUUAAGCCCAGGAGUUUGAGGCUAAAGAGAGCAUAAUUGUGCCACUGUGCUCCAGCCUGGGUAACAGAGCAAGACACUGCCUCUUAAAAAAAUUUAAAAGCCGCCAGGUGCAGUGGUGUGUCCCUGUAGUCCCAGCUACUCAGAAGGUUGAGGUGGGAGGAUCACUUAAGCCCAGGAAUUCUGGGCUGUAGUACACUUUGCUGAUUGGGUGUGCACACUAAGUUCAGCAUCAAUAUGGUGACCUCCUGGUAGCGGGGAACCACCAGGUUGCCUAAAGACGGGUGAACCAGCCCAGGAUGGAAACGGAAAAGGUCAAAACUCCCAUGCUGAUCAGUAGUGGAAUUGCACCUGUGAAUAGCCACUGCACUCCAACCUGGGCAACAUAGCGAGACCCUGUCUCUUAAAUUUAAAAUCCAGGCCAGCCACGGUGGCUCAUGCCUGUAAUCCCAGCACUUUGGCAGGCCAAAGUGGGUGGAUCACCUGAGGCCAGGAGCUGGAAACCAGCCUAACCCAUGGUGAAACGCUGUCUCUACUAGAAGUACAAAAUUAGGCAGGCAUAGUGCUACAUGUCUGUACUCUCAGCUACUUGGGAGGCUGAGGCAGGAGAAUCUACUGAACCUGGAAGGCAGAGGUUGCAGUGAGCCAAGAUUGUGCCACUGCACUCCAAUCUGGGCAAUAAGGUGGAAACUCGAUUAAAAAUAAAGCCAAAAAAUAACUGGUGCUCGAAUAGGCUUUGGAGAAAAGCAAAUACUUAUACACUGUCGGUGUGAAUGUAAGUUAGUUUGGUCACUGUGGAAAGCUGUUUGGAGAUUCCUCAAAGAACUUAACACAGAACUACCAUUCAACCCAGCAAUCCCAUCACUAGGUAUCUAUUGGAAAGAAAACAAAUCAUUCUAUCAAGAAGACAUGUGCACUGGUAUGUUCAUUGCAGCAGUAGCAAAGACAGGGUAUCAGUCUAUGUCCUGUGUGCCUAUUAAUGGUAGAGUGGGUAAAGAAAAUGUGGUACAUACACACCAUGGAACACAACACAGCCAUAAAAAAGAAUGAAAUUGUGCCGGGUGCGGUGGCUCAAGCCUGUAAUCACAGCACUUUGGGAGGCCGAGGCGGGUGGAUCAUGAGGUCAAGAGAUCGAGACCAUCCUGUUCAACAUGGUGAAACCCCAUCUCUACAAAAAAUACAAAAAAUUAGCUGGGCAUGGUGGUGCGUGCCUGUAAUCCCAGCUACUCAGGAGGCUGAGGCAGGAGAAUUGCCUGAAUCCAGGAGGCGGAGGUUGUGGUGAGCCGAGAUCUCGCCAUUGCACUCCAGCCUGGGUAAUGGGAGCGAAACUCCAACUCAAAAAAAAAAAAAAAAAUGAUAUCAUGUCUUUUGCAGUAACAUGAAUGCAGCUGGGGCCAUUAUCCUAAGUGAAUUAACACAGGAACAGAAAACUAAAUACUAUAUAUUCUCACUUAUAAGUGGGAGCUAAACAUUGGGUACUUAUGGACAUAAAGAUGAGAACAAUAGGCCCUGGUGACUACUAGAGGAGGCGGGGCCAGGGUUGAAAACUUAACUGUUGGGUACCAUGCUCAGUACCUGGGUGACAGGAUCAGUUGUACUCCAUACCUCAGCAUAACACAGUAUAACCCAGGUAACCAACCUGCAUAUGUACCCCUGGAUCUAAAAUAAAAAGAUUACAGGCAGUUGCCACCACGUCCAGCUAAUUUUUGUAUUUUUUAGUAGAGACGGGGUUUCACCAUGUUGGUCAGGCUGGUGUUGAACUCCUGACAUCAAGUGAUCCACCCACCUUAGCCUCCCAAAGUGCUGGGAUUACAGGUGUGCGCCACUGCGCCUGACCGCAUAGUGGGUUUUUUAGGGCAUGCCAGGUUCGAGGUGCCGGCAGGACACUCAGCUGCAGCUGGGCAGGAGGUCAGGAGAGAGAGAGAUUGAGGAGUUGGUGGCUCUUACUUGGUUACUAUAGCUAUGGAAGUAGAGGGAAUAACCCAGGUCACAGGAGGGAGGAAGGAACAAAGGAAGAAGCUGGUGCCACUCCAAGGCUCACCCUGGCCUGGCGGGAGGAAGGAGGCUGAAAAGAGGGGACCAGAGAGCUGUAGGCAGCUCUGUCCACCAGAGUCUUAUGGCUAAUGGGACAGAUUUGAUAGCUAAGAAAUAGAUCUGUAUACGAUGAAAGCCCCAGAGCAUGAUGGUGUCAGUUCAUGCUCCCAGCGUUGCAUGAGUUGAGGGUGUGCGAACUCCAAGAGGGCUGGAUGGGAGAGGAGGGAUGGGCCGCAGCCGUGUGGAGCUUUCUCCGAUGUAUUCUGAACCCUCCUCUGCGUUGAUGGCAGAAGUUGGAAGGGAGCUGCUUCCUCAAACUUGCAGGUCAGGGUCCUCUUUGCUGGCACAAUUGGCAGGGUGUUCCCCAUCAGCACUGACCUUAUGGUCUCCUGUCAGGGGGCAGGGAAACAAACCUUGUUUGCUUUCAUAACUUUCUGUGUGGAUUUUUGAUGGGGGAUGGGAAAAGGGGAGAAGGAAACCUUAGUGCUUCCUGUUGUUUUUAAGACCACUUAUGAAUUGCAUUUUCUGGUCUUUUCAUUUUGCGACAUCAAGCAUAUGAAGCAUGAUAGCCAUAGAACUAGCCAGUGGUGGCUGGGCACAGUGGCUCACACCUGUAAUCCCAGCACCUUGGCAGGCUGAGGUGGGCAAUCACGAGGUCAGGAGAUCGAGACCAUUCCGUCUGAUCUUGAUAGUGAAACCUCAACUUUACUAAAACUACAAAAUAUUAGGUGGGUGUGGUGGUACACGCCUGUAGUCCCAGCUACUCGGGAGGCUGAGGCAGGAGAAUCGCUGGAACCUAGGAGAGGAGGCUGCAGUGAACCCAGAUUGCAUAAGUGCACUCCAGCCUGGGCAACAGAGUGAGACUUUUUUUUUAGACAAAGAAAAUCUAGGCUCCAUUGACUUUGCAUGCUUAAUAUAAAAGUUCUCAUUUUAAUAAGUUUAAACACAUCAUUUUGUGGCAUUAAGUACCUUGACGCUGUUGUGCAGCCACCAGCACUAGCCAUCUCCAGAAGACUCUUCAUCUUGCAAAACUGAAACUCUAUCCAUUAAGCAGGAACUUCCCAUUCCACCCCUCCCGGGUCCCUGGCAACCACCAUUCAUUCUACUUUCUGUCUCUGAAUUUUGCUAUUCUGAGUGCCUCAUAUUACUAAAAUCAUACAGGGUUUGUCCUUUUAUAACAGGCUUAUUUCAUUUAGCAUAGUGUCUUUUCAAAACUCAUUGCGUCAGAAUUUCCUUCCUUUUUACGGCUGAACAGUAUUCCACUAUACGUAUGUAUCGCAGUUUCUGUAUCCAUUCGCCCAUCAGUGGGCGCACAGAUUGCUUCCACCUUUUGGUUAUUGUGUGAACAGUGCUGCCAAAAAUAUCAGGCAUGUGAAUAUCAAUUUGUGUCUGUUUUCAGUUCUUGGGUUUAUACCCAGGGGUGUCCCUUGGUUUUUGCUGUUUGAUUGACUCCUACUCUGCUGGGGAUUUCUGAGAUUGCUGUCUUUGUUACCCUUCUGUUUUAGCUUCUGGGAGAAUCUUAGGUGUGUCCCUAGGCUGCAUUGUGACCAGCUGGAGCGCCACUACUAAGCCCCUGCCUGAAGGUCCUGCCCACAGAGAUCCACAUCUUGUCCACUUAGCACCAUCUUAGAGUUUGGGUCAGGAAGAUUCACGUUCUAACCUCAGUACUUCCACCUGUGUGCCUUGUGAUGUUGCAAAGCUUCCUCCUCUUCCUGUAGAGCUGUGUUUCCGCGCCACACAAUGAGAAGGCAGAACUCAGUGAUCUUCAGGGCCCCUCCCAGGUGAUGGACAGUGGGGUCACAGUGGUCUCCUAAGCUCGGUGACCAAGGAACCAAGGUGGGCACGAAGAAGGCAGAGCCCCAGAUACCUGUUAUGGAUAAUGCAAUUCAGCUUCCCAGAAAUCUGGGACGGUUAGAUGGCUUGUGUCCUUGCUGAAUUCUGGCACAUGCGACGUGGCUUGUUUUGUGAGUAAACGUAGCAGUAACUCCCCUUAAAGCAAAACUAUAUGCUAUGUAUUAUCCACCCUUUGUUGAGAGAAUGGGGUAAGGAGAGGCGGGAUAACUGGUUUGACCAUGGAUUUUUGGCGGAUAUCGCCAUUUAAUACAAUCAAGGAUACUUCAUAGGCAAGUCGCCAGCUAAUAGAAUCAAGGAUACUUCAUAGGCAAAUGUUACCACUUGUUAGCUCUGCAGUUUGGUCACAGGCCAAGGCAAUUUUUAAUCAUUUUCCCUCCCUUCUUUAAAAAAAAAAAAAUUAAAGAGCAGACUUCCUUCUCUUUAGGUUGAACUGUGAGCAGGAGUCCACGCUUUCCUGAACUAGGAAGGUAAAUUCCAGGAAGUUGCCCACACAUCAACUUCCAGGCCUCUCGAGUGCACAUAAAAAUGUUGACUAGCCUGGGGCUCCCUGCCAGGGUUUGGAGAUGAGGUACUAGUCCUCCCAUUAGUGCUUUCUCUGCCCCACCAGGGAGACUUCGUAUGUACCAGCAAUGUCGUGUCUUUGUUUCAUCUGGAAAAGGCGGAUCCUGUUUCUGUUUUCAGGAAUGUGUUAGGGUAUUGGGAUGACUAGAACCCAUUUGGAGCACAUUUGAUGAAAAUGUAUAGCAUUUUCUUUUUAGGAGAUAUUUUAACCAUCUUAAAAAAAAAAAGACUUAAGUCCAGAUACUAAGCCAUCAGUGUUUUUAAUAUAUGGAAAAUGUAGAAGCAGUUUCAAAAAGUUCUCACUGUGAUUGGAACUAGGUUAUGACAAUACAGGACUCCUAGGGGAAGAAUUUAUACUGGAUAAAACUCUAAAAUAAAUGAAUAUACUAAAAAAAAAAAAAAAAAAACCCCAAAUCUGGCUGGGGGUGGUGACUCAUGCCUGUAAUCCGAGCACUUUGGGAGGCCAUGGUGGGCGGAUCACUUGAGACCAGGAGUUUGAGGCCAGCCUGGCCAACAUGGUGAAACCCCAUCGCUACUAAAAAUAUAAAAAUUAGCCAGGCAUGGUAGCAAGCACCUGUAAUCCCAGCUAUUCUAGGAGGCUGAGGCAGGAGAAUCACUUCAACCUGGAGGAUGGAGGUUGCAGUGAGUCAAGAUUACUCCCACCUGGGCAACAAAGCCAGACCCUGUCUCAAAAAAAAAAAAAAAAAAGUGGCUGCAAGAAGAAAACAGAGGAUGUUUGCUUCUAUUGUCCCUUGCAAGUGUAGCUAAUAAAGGACCUUGUGAGUACUGGAAUUAAGAAAAUGCCAUUCCAAGUUGUGUAUGUACAUUUUUAUACCUACACCAAAGGUUCUUGGAAUAAAGAUUCCAAAAUUCUACGACAGUGUCUGGCUGUUGCAUCAUGCAAGACCCCUUUUGCUUCAGCUGUAAAACAAGGCAAAUUUUACACAUAAUAGAAACCACUAUCUACGUAUGUUGGUUUAGGGAAACCUAUUUUUUAACGUUCCAUUUCUCAAAAAACCUUAGAAAAGUCAUAUUGUCAGUAAAAGCUGCUGAUGUUCUCAGCAACUCAAGGGCUGACUGAUAAUUUCUGCUUUUGCUAGUACUGGUCUACAGUGGAAUUUGGAAGCAUAGAGUACAGAAGUUGUAGAUUUGGCCGGGCGCGGUGGCUCACGCCUGUAAUUCCAGCACUUUGGGAGGCCAAGGCAGGCAGAUCAUGAGGUCGGGAGAUUCAGACCAUCCGGGCCAACAUAGUGAAACCCCUUUUCUACUAAAAAUACAAAAAUUAACUGGGUGUGGUGGCACAUGCCUGUAGUCCCAGCUAUUCAGGAGGCUGAGGCAGGAGAAUUGCUUGAACUCGGGAGGUCGAGGUUGCAGUGAGCAGAUACCGCACUCCUGGCGACAGCCUGAGACUGUGUCUCAAAAAAAAAAAAAAAAGGAAAAAGAAAAAAAACUUGGUAGAUUUGGUGUCAUCAUGACAAAUGGCUUUUAUUUCCCAACAGAUUUCUUUAUAAAAUAUUUCAAACUCUUUUGAUUUUUGUUUGUAUUUGAAUGCAUUUUAAAAAAAAAACCUGGCCCUUUAAUAAGUGCAAGACAGAUUAAAUUCAUUGUGAAAUACUAGGUCACUGGGUGGAAAGUUUCUUCACUGAUCAUCCUAGCUUCACAUUUUUAGUUAUGUGAAGUGCACAUUUGGUUUUCUCCUGCCUGAAAUCUUCAGUCCACCUCCAUGGCAGUCUAGAAUGAAGCAGCUGUGGGCUGUGGCCAGCCAGGUGUGUGUCCUUGGCUGAUGGAAGAGCUGAUCUGCAGAUACCUGCAGGAGGAAGCCAUGUAUGACAUCUGCUGGGAUUUGAUUUCCCCCCAUACUCCUGGAAAAUGAGAACUGUUUAUAGCAGCCUGGUUCCAGUACACUGGCAGGGCAAGGAUUGGCUUGUUCUUUUACAAACACAAUGUGGCUGGAUGCACUCAUAAAUGAAAAAUGAUCUGAGUGCUGUGGGUGGGUGGGGCUCUGGAGCUCAGGAGGUGAAGCCAGGAGGAGAGAGAAAGAGAGAAUCUGCUCCUCAGCUCCACGGAGCAUGGGGAGCUGGCAGGAAGUUGGAGCACACAUGGCGCAGCUUGUGUUUUGUUGAUAGUUAAUAACCCAGGACUUUAAAGACCUCAAUGGAGAAGGGAAAUGAAGCACAACCAACUUUGGAGUCUGUCCCAUUCCAGAGGCUGCUGAAGCACAGCAGGGCACGUUCACCUGACCAGCCGUAAAG